CGAUUAUAUAUGAGUAUGAGGGUAUAAAAAAAGGUAAAGAAACAUGUUGUAGUGGAGAAUGCUAUGGACUCUAGUCUAGUGUGACACAUUUACUAAUUCAUUCAUGAUUAAAUAUUCGGAUCAUUAUUCAUUAACACAGAAAUGUUCAACACAACCAAAAAAUAAAAAUAAAAUACAAUCGAUUUUCAUGAACCCCACAAAAUAGGGUUUAUAUAUAGCCGUUGAACUGACCUUCACCCAUAAUGUGCUUUUAGGAACGCUUCAAUUGAAUCGCCAUUUGGGUGCUUCUGCUUCGAAGCUUUACUAGUUCUAAUCCAUUAAAGGACAAUACUCAAUUGCAUAAUGUAACCCUUUGGCAUAUACUACUACUCUGAGCAUCCCAAAAGUGAAGAAGGGAAACAGAGAAGAGUAAAAGAUGAAAGCAUCCAACUUGGAGAGAAUUCCCAUCAAGUUGAAGACUUCAACAAGUUGGGUGGGGAUGAAGUAGUGAGCUUUAGGCCUUAGCUGUCAAAACUAGCAAUUCAUGACUAUGCCCACCAAGUGUUUGAUGAAAUGCCUCCAAACAAAUACAACAAAUCAGCCUUCUCUCGGGGGUAAGUCAUGAUGUGUAUCUUAGUUUGCUCAGCUUCUCUGAGUAGAAACUAUUAUCUGUUUUGAGACAUUUAUAAGCCGGAAUCAACGAAUGAAUCGAUUAAUUGCAUGUCAUUGGAAUCAAGCUAUAUAUUCUGCUAUGUCUGCUAGUAAGAUGUUUUUUUUUAUUAAAUUUUUUUUUAAUACUUGUUGGCUAUGUUUAGUGUCAUUGUGUCAAGAGAGUCUGACACCAAUAUGAAUGUAGUAAGAUUGGGAAAGUGGUCUGCGCGACGGCGUGGAUCAUACUUGUCAAACAUAUGGAAAACAGGAAAAGUGCUAUUUUUUUGUACAUUUUUCAUAACAGGUUAUAAGAUUGUACUUGGAAUGAAAUUUAUCUAUGGUCAUAACUUGUGUGGAAGUAAGGUUAUUGUAUGCUGUGGCAUAAUGCACCAGACUUGUGCUUAUUUUCAUUGUCUCAUCAUCCUCGAACUAACGUUUUGCAAUUAAGUUAUGUUAAUCAUAUUGUCCUGAACAUAAUUGUCCCAGGUUCGGGUGUGGAGGAGUUGAUGGAAGGGGGUUUCUAAGUUGAGUCGGUCAAGUACAGUAAAAGUCAUAUACCAAAUGUUUCCAAAGAGACUCUAAAGGUAUAAGGAUAGUUGGCAAUCCUUUUAUCCUGCAAAACACCUUAAGAUGCUGUUGUCUGAUCAAGAACAAGUGGCACUAAUAUCCCUUAUGGUUUCAGGUAAAACAUGCAUCUGCAUAUCAUUGUUUUUCACAGAGGUUAGCAGCUUCGCUUGCUAUCCUAGUACUGAGUCUUUUGCUGUCCUGAGUUUCAAAGUUUGUUAUAUUAGUUUAAUAGGUCUUUUAAAUUCAAAUGGACAACUGAGUUUGUGGGAAGUGCCUUAGCGCUCAAAGUGCCUUAGCGCUCAAACCAGUCAAAGGGUUGAGAUCUUUUGUUAUGCCAACCCGUGAUCAAAUGGUUUGCUGCUCAAGGCUCCAGCUAGGAUUUCAUGAUACGUUAUCCUAUGAAGAGCUGGUCCCUGUGUGAUUCAAAGACCAGUCUCUAUCAGCUGGUUCAAGGUCCACUAAUGGACUGAGUAAGAGGGUUUGAAACCUCUUUGCUCCCUGUUUUGAAUCGUUCAUGUUUUAGGAAAGGUAUCUUUGUCUUAUUGAGAUUGCUUGUGUCAACUCUCCAUUUGGUUACAUCACUUUCAGUAUGAGAACCAAACACUUCUGUCCAAACAUUUCUGAAACAUGUUGAGGUCAGCUUGCAUCAUCUUUGAUGCCUUGUCUGCCUAUAUAUUGAAAAUUAUUACAGUAUUGCUAAGAGAGUCACAAAUGAGAAAUUGAAUGAUGACAUGCAUAUUGUUAGGAUCAGAUCAGAUCAUGGUACUGAAUUCGAAAACUCUUACUUUGAAAAUUAUUGUGAAGAGUUUGGUGUGCAUCAUGAAUUCUCUGCUCCUAUCACUCCACAGCAUAAUGGCAUUGUAGAAAGAAAGAAUAGGGUUCUUGUGGAAUUAUCUAGGGUUAUGCUAGCUGCAUCUGGUCUUGAUCAUUCUUUUUGGGCAAAAGCAGUAAACAAUGCUUGUUACACAUUAAACCGUGUAAUUCUUAAACCUGGAACAACCAUGACUCCUUAUGAGAUCUGGAGAGGUAGAAAACCAAAUAUCUCUCAUCUCAAAGUGUUUGGAAGUCUCUGCUUUGUCUAUAGGGACAGAGAAUAUUUGACAAAGUUUGAUGCUAAAAGUGACAAGGGUGUGUUCCUCGGCUAUGUUAGAAAUAGUCGAGCCUAUCGGGUGUAUAACAAGAGAACUUGCAAAAUUAUGGAAUCAGUAAAUGUGGCUGUUAAUGAUGCUCUUGUUUGCAAGAAUGAUGGGUGUGUUUUGUCUGAGCAGGUAUCUGAACAAGAAGCUGAACCUACUUCAUUCGAAACCACGUCUGAUCAAGGAGAGAAUGACUCAGGGAUGGAUGAUGACACAGAUCUUCCAGGAUCUGGGAAGGAUGCUACGCUUGCCAUUCAGCCAAUUCACAGAAGCGGCAAAAGACAAGUACAAAAGGACCAUGAUCUAUCCCAUGUAAUUGGGGAUGUGUCUGAAGCCAGAAAGACCAGGAGUAAGACUGGUCGGUUGGUGAGCAAUUUCUCAGUGUUUAAAUGCUUUGUUGGUAUGCAUAAAGAUGACAUCGACACCAUCACAUACUAUGGCUUUGUUUCUAUAAUAGAGCCAAAGAAUGUGAAGGAAGCCUUGCUUGAUGCUGAUUGGAUCAGUGCCAUGCAAGACGAGUUGAACCAGUUUGAAAAAAGCAAUGUUUGGCAUUUAGUGUCUAGGCCUAAGGACAAAAAUGUCAUAGGAACCAAAUGGGUGUUCAAAAAUAAAACUGAUGAAAAAGGCAUUAUCACUCGAAACAAGGCAAGACUUGUUGUGCANNNNNNNNNNNNNNNNNNNNAGAGCACAUUAUCAUUGCUCAGAUAUAUGUUGAUGACAUAGUGUUUUGGGUCGUACUUCUCCAUCUCUGGUGCAUGAGUUUACUGAGCUCAUGAAGAAAGAAUUUGAAAUGAGUCUCUGUGGGAAGUUAAGUUACUUCUUAGGUCUUCAAGUUGUGCAAAGUCAAAAUGGUCUGUUUAUCUGUCAAUCUAAGUAUGCACAGGACCUUGUUAAGAAGUUUGGGAUGGAAACGGCCACUGCCUUCCCCACUCCCAUGAGCACCAGCUGUAAAAUCAGUGCUGACCUGUCUGGUAUUAAUGUGGACCAAACCAAUUAUAGGAGUAUGAUUGGAAGUCUUAUGUAUUUGACUGCUAGUAGACCAGAUAUUGCUUAUAAUGUUGGUGUAUGUGCUCGUUAUCAAGCUAAUCCCAAACAAUCUCAUGUCAAAGCAGUAAAGCGCAUAAUCCGAUAUGUUGCUGGAACUCUUGAUCAUGGAAUUAAGUACACUUUUGACACUAAUGUUGAGAUUGCAGGAUACACUGACUCGGAUUGGGCUGGAGAUGCAAAUGACAGAAAAAGCACUUCCGGUGGUUGCUUCUUUGUAGGCAACAAUCUGGUUUCAUGGCAUAGCAAGAAGCAAAAUUGCACCUCUCUCUCUACUGCUCAAGCUGAGUACGUAGCAGCUGGUAGUUGUUGCACACAACUCAUGUGGAUGAAACAGAUGCUUGCAGACUAUGGUUUCUAGCAAGGUACGUUAUCUCUUUUCUGUGAUAAUACCUCUGCCUUAAACAUCUCAAAGAAUCCAAUAUUGCACUCUAGGACCAAGCAUAUAGAGAUAAGAUAUCACUUCAUUCGUGGCUUGGUUGAAGAGAAACUGCUUGAGCUUACUUUCAUUCCAACUGAAAAGCAAUUAGCUGAUUUGUUCACUAAACCACUUGACAAUGCUAGGCAUUUGAGUUUGUGCAAGGCUAUAGGGGUGUGUGACAACAAGUAAAUACUUCCUCUGCUAGUGUGUGUGUUCUGUUGGUGUACAUAUGCUUUUGUUUACAGUUCCUCUUUAUAGGUUCAGGAUUAGAGGACCUUCUUGGUAUCCUUAGUCAGUUUCUGAACUUGACCUAGGUGACUAUUUGCCCUUCCUUUCCUUGGUUCAGUCUUACUCGUCACAUAGGUGUGUGCACAUGUUCAGAUGUUGUGGUAUGUGGUCUGGCUUUUAUUGCAAAUCUGCAGUAUUCUUAUGUGCACUAUUACUGAUCAUUUUGGUUGCACUAAAGCUUGGGCUAUAUACUUGAGAUAAGAGUUCAUACUAAGGGGGAGUUUACUUUCUAAACUAAUCUCAAAGUAAACAUUCCUUGGUUGUGGUGAACAAUUCAAGGGUGAGCAGAAACGAGGUUGGUUUGAAGAUUGAGGUUCAAAGAACUCAAUGAUCUAGGCUAAUCUCAAAGUACACAUUUCUUGGUCGUGAUGAACGAUAUAAGGGUGGGAAGAAACGAAAUUGGUUUAGAAUUAGGAAGUCUGGUUGGAACAAAGUUGGAAAAAAAUUGAUUGACAAUCACAAAUGACUUCUUGAAUCAGCUAGUCCUCCACUUGUCUUGUUAUGUAGUGGGGAUUUCUGAGAUGCAUUCUAUCCUUCGAUGGGUUCGGAUGAUGUGUCCAUAUGAGUGUCCUUGUUACACAUAUUGUCCAAGGUCAACUGAUCUUGUGAAGCAUUGACACAUUUUCUGCUACUUGUACCUAUGAGGAAGAUUUCUCAGUUAAGGUUGUGAUAUUAAUGUUGGAUCAAAAUAAAUCCAUGGAUAAAAGUAGCCCCUGGACUUUAAAAUCAAAUUUUGGAGAGAUAAGGAUGGAAGGACUAGAUGAUAUCCCAGUAUGACAUGGCUCACGUUGACAAUAAAUACUUAGUUGAUGCCCUCAAGCUUUUCAAGCACCAUGUGGUUAUUAUCUCACUUACACACUCACUCUAAAGUGCUGCAAAAAUAUAUAUAUAUAUAUAUAUAUAUANNNNNNNNNNNNNNNNNNNNNNNNNNNNNNNNNNNNNNNNNNNNNNNNNNNNNNNNNNNNNNNNNNNNNNNNNNNNNNNNNNNNNNNNNNNNNNNNNNNNNNNNNNNNNNNNNNNNNNNNNNNNNNNNNNNNNNNNNNNNNNNNNNNNNNNNNNNNNNNNNNNNNNNNNNNNNNNNNNNNNNNNNNNNNNNNNNNNNNNNNNNNNNNNNNNNNNNNNNNNNNNNNNNNNNNNNNNNNNNNNNNNNNNNNNNNNNNNNNNNNNNNNNNNNNNNNNNNNNNNNNNNNNNNNNNNNNNNNNNNNNNNNNNNNNNNNNNNNNNNNNNUCUCGUCUCUCUCUCUCUCUCUCUCUCUCUCUCUCUCUCUCUCUCUCUCUCUCUCUCUCUCUCUCUCUCUCUCUCCUCUCUCUCCUUCUUCAUCCUGUCUUUCUCUCUUCUUCUUUAUCUUCUCGAAACCCACUCUUUUCUUUCUCUUCUCUGAGUUCCCUCUUCUCCCAUCCAUCUCCAAACCUUCUCUCGGUCAAAAAUGUCAAACACUCCGGCUGGCCCUAAUUUUGUCAAUCUCGGUGAUGAACCCACAAUGAAGGAGCCUUUGAAUCUGUUGCCUCUUCAAGCUGAGGUGCCUUUCCCUGGAGGCCAAUCUCUGUUGCUCACUGCUACCCCUGGAGGCCCCUCCAUAGCUGACAAGCUUCAAGCUCUGAUGGACCCAGUCCCUUCUGGUGCGCUAGGUAAACGACCCCACUCUCCCUCCGGUGAAAUUCCGGUCAAGAUCGCCAAGCCAUCUGCUUCUAGUGGUGGUGGACCAUCCUCGGCAGUCCCCUCUUCUCCAGCCUCUCCGGUUAGGUCUCCAAUUAGGACUCGCUAUCCUUCUUCUGAGGGUGUAUGGACCGAGUUGCCUGACCCAGCCCCUGAGCCCAAAUCCAAGCGCUGCAUGUCCAAGCGUCGAGCGCCGAGGCCUGCCUCUCCUCCUAAGACCGAAGGGCCUUCUGUUCCCCCUGUCACUCCUCAGUCUGGUAUGCCUAAGGAUCCUUCCUUUCCCAUUCCUCAUCCAUCCUCCAGCCCUAAGCCCUCAGAACGCUCCAAGCCGGCUCCGGUCUCUCGCAAUCUUCGUUCUAGGCCUCGAAAUGCUGUAGAUAGGGGCAAGGCUCCCUUGGAAGAACGUCAGGUCCCUCCUAAGAAAAGGUCUGGUGAGUCUGCUUCUACCAAUUUACCUCCUAUGUCUCAUUUUGAGUCUGACUCCCUUCGUGAUCUUUUCAAUACCUUUGUGGUGGGUAAGAAAAUUGUGUAUGAAAGACUCCUAGCUUUAGACUCUUUUCAUCCUGAGAUUAGGAAGCUUCUUCAGCAUUGGGGAUAGGAUCAAGUCUUAGAGUCCUUUCCUAAGGUUAACAAGACUUGGGUUCAAGAGUUUUACACCAACUUUCCCCAAAAAGCUCCUAAAAAGGUUAAGAUUCAGCGUCAAUCCCCUAUUGUUGUCCGGGUUCGGGGUAAGAAUGUAGAUGUCUCUCCUCCUGGGAUUCGUGCUAGUUUUUCUCUCCCCGAGACAGCACCGAAUGCCAUUCAGUCUGUCUUGGAAUUCAUUGACUCCAUUUCUCUUCAGGAUUUGGGUGCUGCUCUUUAUCAGUCCUCCUUUCCCAUUCCUGCCUUGACUACACCUCAUCUUUCUAGUCAGUUUAUGUCUGAACUUUUCAAGAUUUUAGGGUUUGUGGUGCGCUCUUUGCUUACUCCUACCACCAACACCAGUAAGAUUACUCACACACAGGCUGCUCUGAUUAAGUACUUGACUACGAGUCCCGUUAAGCCAGCCUUUCCUGUAGAGUACUUUAUGUACAAAGCAAUUUGGUCUGCUGGUACUUCCCUUCGUGGUUCCAGCUCUCUGGUCUUAUUUCCUGCUGUGAUUACAAAGCUCUGCUUAGAUGCUGGUGUUCCCACCAUGGAUGGUGAUAUGUUUGCUCAGGAGAAUGAAGCUGUUACGGUUGACAAGCUGUCCUUGGCUAAAUUUGUUGGUCAAUCUGGUGAUGUGUAUAUUGAGCCCCUUGAGUCCUCUUUGUUGAAGCAGGAAGUUAGGCAUCAGGUUUCCAGUGCAGUGGCUACCUUGACACAGUUGUUUGCUUCUCACCUUUCUGAAUUGACCCUGGAGCUGAAGGAGCUGAAAGAGUCCGUGAGGUCGCAUCAUGCCUCUGCUAUCCCCUCUGCUGGGGCCCCUGUAGCUGAUGAGGAAUCCUCCUCAGAGUCAGGAUCUGAGGAGACAUCUUCCAGUGAUGGAGAGGAAGCUGUUUAGUUCUGUGUGUUCAUGGUGUUCUGCCUUAGUGAUUUGUUUUAUGUUUCUUCUAGUUUGUUUUCCAUUGUAGGUUUCUAUUUCUUUUAAAACCUCUCGGAUAUUUUAUUCUCUGUUUCCCUUUGGUAUUCCUUGCCAAAAAGGGGGAGAAUUAGUUGUAGGAAUUGAUGGUUGCUUGGUUUAUGUUUGUAAGACAUUAUUAGUUUUUAUGGCUGAUCAAUACAAUGUUUUAUGACUGUUUAAUGCAAUAGUAAUUUCUCAGUGUUAGUGUGCUAAUAACUCAGUUGUAGUUUCUGUGAUUCUUCACUUAUUCUUGAAGUUGUUUUCUGCAGGUUGUUUUCCCUACAAAUGAAGUGUUUUGUGAAGGAAUGCCAAAGGGGGAGAUUCAAGGUAUAAGGAUAGUUGGCAAUCCUUUUAUCUUGCAUAACACCUUAAGAUGCUGUUGUCUGAUCAAGAACAAGUGGCACUAACAUCCCUUAUGGUUUCAGGUAAAACAUGCAUCUGCAUAUCAUUUUUUUUCACAGAGGUUAGCAGCUUCGCUUGCUAUCCUAAUACUGAGUCUUUUGCUGUCCUGAGUUUCAAAGUCUGUUAUAUUAGUUUAAUAGGUCUUUUAAAUUCAAAUGGACAACUGAGUUUGUGGGAAGUGCCUUAGCGCUCAAAGUGCCUUAGCGCUCAAAGUGCCUUAGCGCUUAAACCAGUCAAAGGGUUGAGAUCUUUUGUUAUGCCAACUCGUGAUCAAAUGGUUUGCUGCUCAAGGCUCCAGCUAGGAUUUCAUGAUACGUUAUCCUAUGAAGAGCUGGUCCCUGUGUGAUUCAAAGACCAGUCUCUAUCAGCUGGUUCAAGGUCCACUAAUGGACUGAGUAAGAGGGUUUGAAACCUCUUUGCUCCCUGUUUUGAAUCGUUCAUGUUUUAGGAAAGGUAUCUUUGUCUUAUUGAGAUUGCUUGUGUCAACUCUCCAUUUGGUUACAUCACUUUCAGUAUGGGAACCAAACACAACUGUCCAAACUUUUCUGAAACAUGUUGAGGUCAGCUUGCAUCAUCUUUGAUGCCUUGUCUGCCUAUAUAUAUCUAUAGCUUUGGCUUUGCUCAAUGGUUGUUGAAAACUGCCUUAUUGCGUUUUCUUUGUUGAGUCUAGUUUUUAGCUUGCAUUGUUCAUGCUGCUCUAAGUCUUCUUCGUGACUGUAAACCUUAGAGCUUGAACUCAAAACUUCUUUCAUCAACUCAUAUCAUGUUGCAUACCAUGAGGGAUGUGUAGUGCAACCAACUCAAGAAGCGUUCAAGGUUGAAUCAGCUAGUGGUUAGCUGAAUUCACGAACAAGGCUUCUAAAAGUGUUCCAUGUUGUAAGAACUUAGAAACAAGAGAGGGAAUAUGUCUAGACUAGUUUGGGACUAGGAAGGAUAGCACUGUGGUAGUGUAUUACUAGACAUUAUUCUUGUAAGAAGUUACUUCAACUUAGUGGAAAGUUUUGUCUCUCAAGAGUUAGAGACACGCAGUUUUUCUCCCUGCAUUCAGGGUUUCUGCGAGUAAAAAACAUCCUCGUGUUGUUUUUUUAUUUGCUGCAGUUUACUUUCUGCAAACUCGUAACCUGUGAAUCUGGGAUAGCACAAGUCAUUGCUAUCCUCGGAUACAGAAGUCAACGAAAAUUUAAAAAAAGGCCUAUUCACCCCCCUCUAGGACCUUUAGACUCAGCUAAUGAUGAUUUGUUUAGUGGCCUCAGAUUAGAGGCAGGGAAAAAGUGUGUAUAACAACGUCCAGAACUCAUCCAAAUAUUCUGCCAACAAUAAUUGUUUCUGGCUUGCUGCUUUUGAAAUCAACUAGGUUGCAGCUGUUUUCAGCAGGUAUACUACUCAAACUAUAAAUUGCCUUAUUUCUUAAUUGAUUGAAUUUCAUUUGUCUAUAUAGUUUCUAUUUUCAUAUGUAUAUGCCCCUAUGAUUUAUAGUCAUAUGAUUGCAUUCGUUUUUCUAAUAAAAGGUUGUUAAAGCUAGACAUGGUCAUUAAUACACUAUGAUUUACCAGGUUUUGGUCUAUAUAGUUUCAUUAAUAGACUACAAUAAAAGGUUAAACCUUUAGAUUUAUUUCAUAAACCCCAUGAAAUAAGGUUUUAUAUAGCCGUUGAGCUCGUCAGAGAAACCAAGCAUGUGAAGGUUUUCUUCUCCCAUAUGACUGCUUUUAGGAACCCUUCAUUUGAAUCGUCAUUUGGGUGCUUCUGCUUCUGCUUUUACGUUAUUAAAGAUCGAAGUGUUACUAAUUCUAAUCCAUUAAAGGACAACACUCAAUAGCCUAAUGUAACCAUUUGGCAUAUACUACUACUCGGAGCAUGCCAAACAAGUGAAGAAGAGAAACAGAGAAGAGUAAAAAAUGAAAGCAUCUAUCUUGGACAGCAUUCCAUCAGUUUAAGGAGUUGGGAGAAGAUGAAGUAGUGAACCUAGCUCUCAAAACUAGCAAUUCAUGGUGUUGGCUACCAACUGUUUGAUGAAAUGCAUCAAAAAAAAAGAAAAAAAGAAAAAAAGACAAGAAACCAGAACAGAAGUGGAUAUGAGCAGAGGUUUUCGAUAUCAAAGCAUGAUAGAGGAGACUAACCAUAGCCCGAAUCAGAAUCUGUUCUUGCUUUUCCACAUUUAGCUGGUCAAAAUGAACUGUGAUAUAAAGUAGGCUCAACUAUAGUUGGUUUCAGAGAGGUGCUUCCUCUUUCUCAAGGUAUGACAAGUAGCGGCCUCAGAGUUUUGCAUAUAAGAAGUUGUCAUAAGGCUGAAGUGCAUAUAGAAGACCAGCUUUUUAAGAGAAGAUGAUUCUCAAUAGGUCUUAAAAAUCCAUGUCACCGAGGAGUUUAAGCUCGAAACCCCCAAGGCACUUCAUGCGGCAUACUCCAGGCUGGUCAUGGAAUACUUGGCGCAGGAGGUAUUUCAAACUCAUCAUAAGAGACAAUGGAGAAGGUUGACAAAGUCUUUGAAGUGGCAAUAUCCUCUCCAUUUGACAAGCUGUGCAAUGCUUCAACUGGAGGGUCAUCUACAUAGUGGGAGUGAUUGGUUAUGGUAAUACAUUAUAAUGAUGCACCUGCAUUGGAAAAUGUUGAGGUACUCGAAGGAUGACACUCUUUGUCUAUGCUCAUUUUUAUCAGAGAAAAUUGGAACACACCAGAUAAAAAUUAUAAAACUCAAUAUCCUUUUUACAUAUUCUCUUCUUGUUUCCAGCCUGAGUUAGAGGAAGAGGUUGCAAAUUUGUGGUGGUCAUUAGUGAUGGUUUCAUACUUUCAUCUGAUUGCUUGAUAGGGAAAUGAUCUUUCCCUUGAGAGGUAAGUCAUGAUGGAUAAGUUUGUUUGCUCAGUCUUCUCUGGGGGGAAGCUAUUAUCUAUUUUGAGACAUUUGUGGGCCUGAAUCAAAGAAUGAAUCUAAAUAUAUGCAUAUCAUGGAAUCGAGCUAUUCUGCUGUGUUUGCUAGUAAGAUUUUUUAUUUUUAACUUUUAAUUUUUAAUUUUUUUUUUUACUUGUUGGCUAUGUUAAGUGUCAAAGAUCAAUGUGUUAACAUUGCAAAGUGCUUUACACAGGGCAUACAUGUCAAUCAUUUGGAAGCAUGGUGUUUCGUUUGGCAUUUCUCAUAACAAGUUACAAGAUUGGACUUGGAAAACUAUUAUGAAAUUUAUCCUUGGUCAUAAGUUCAUAAUUUGUGUGAAAGUAAGAUAAUUGUAUGGUGCGGCAUGAUACACCAGAAUUGUGCUAUUUUUCAUUGCCUCAUCAUCCUUGGAUUAAUAUUUCAUUUUUAUGAAUAGAACAAUUUGGAUAUGUUAACUUCAUUAUCCUCAAAAUAAUUGUCCCAGGUUUAGGUGUGGAGGAGUUGAUGGAAGAGGCUUUCUCAGUUGAAUCGGUAAAGUACAGUAAAAGUCCUUUAUCAGAAGUUGCCAAAGAAACUCAGCUUAAUAUAUGUGCUUUCUUUAGUGGCCACAGAUUAGAGACAGGGAAAUUUUGUAUAACAACAUCCAGAAGUUCAUCCAAAUAUUCCUGGGCCAACGAUAAUUGUUUCUGCCUUGCUGCUAAUGAAAUCAAGUAAUGAACUAGGUUGCAGCCGUUUCAGCAGGUAAACAGCUUAAACUAUAAAUUGCCUUGUUAGUCAACUGAUCCUAUUUCAUUUGUCUAUAUAGUGUUUAUUUUCACAAUUAUAUGCGCCUAUGAUUUAUCUGAUUGCAUUUGUUUAUCUAAUAAGAGAUGUUAAAGCUAGUCAUGGUCAUUACUAAACUACAGUUUACCAGGCUUUUGCCUCUGUCCAAUUCUUAGGGUACAUCUAAUCAAAUUCCUAUCAUCAAAAAGAUAUUCAUAAGUUUAUAUUAUGAACAAACUGCUCAACAACUUGCAUACACCAUAUAAGAUUACAUAAUCGUUGUAAAAUACCAAUGAAUAUUUAUUUAUAAUAAAAAUUAAUUAGUAAUUAUCUAAUAAAAGAAUGAAAACAAUAUCAUCUCUUCAGGGCUAUGCAAAGCCAUUUAAACUUCAUGAUAGUUAUCCAGGUAGUUUAUAUCAAACGGAAUGCUUGUUUUUCUUCUUCAGAUAGCUGAAUAUGGGUUUCGCUGGAACCGGCAUACACUUGACAAGCCAACCAAUUGGCCAAGAGAUGACUGCAAUCCCAAAACAUAAACCCCAUUGUCCCCAAUUCAACCUCUCUGUAUCUGCAAAUUUUUUCAGAACCUCUACCAUCAAAACCUGAAGAACAAUUGUCACCGCAAUGAUUCCCAUAAACAACUUGUUUGUGUGUAUUCCCUUGAAGACAUUUUUCUUCUCCAGCUUCCUCGCAUUAAACUCAUUGAAGAUCUGGCAAAGAACAAAAGUAUUGAAGAUCAAUGUGUCCUUUACCUUAUCACUGACACCGAAGAUUGCUUUUCCCCUGAAUUGUAAGAUCAAGAGGACAGUUAUCUGGUAUAGUGCUUGAGGCAAGAGGUUCCUCCACAUGAUGUUUGUGAUGAGAGGCGCUGUCCGUCCCACUGGUGGCUUCUCCAUUAGUUCUUUUGUGGGUUUUUCUGUGGCAAGAGCAAGAGCUCCAAGUGUGUCCAUGAUCAAGUUUACCCACAAUAACUGAACUGCUGUUAGUGGGACUUGACCUGCUGAAACUGCUGCGACAAAGUUGAUCACAAGAGCUGCAACAUUGACGGUGAGCUGGAAUUGAAUGAACUUCUGGAUAUUAUUGUACACACAUCUCCCCCACAUCAAAACUGUAGCAACUGAAGCAAAGUUAUCAUCCAUGAUCACAAUAUCCGAGCUCUCUUUAGCAACUUCUGUUCCUUGAAUCCCCAUAGAAAGUCCUAUAUCAGCUUCUUUCAAUGCCGGUGCAUCAUUGGUGCCAUCUCCGGUUACUGCAACAACGUGACCUUUCUGUUUCAAGCAUUGCACCAUUAGAAGCUUAUCAAAAGGGGAAGACCUUGCCAUCACACAAAUUUUGUCAACUUUCUCCAGUCUCUCUUCUGGCGUGUAGUUGCGGAAUUCUACACCUUCAAUCACUGCUCCGAACAUGUCCUGACCAGGCCUGAGUAUCCCACAUUCAGUGGCUAUCGCUUUUGCGGUGAAAACAUUGUCGCCGGUAAUCAUUUUGACAUUAACCCCUGCAUUUUGACAUUCUUCAACUGCUUUCUUCACACCUGGACGGCAUGGAUCCUUGAGACCCACAAGUCCCAAUAGAGUCAAUCCAUCUUCCUUUAGCACAAAUUUCUGGUCUGCAUUUAGUUGCUCUUCUGUUGGAACUUGUUUAUGUGCAAACGCUAUGCAUCUGAGGCUGCUAGCUGCCAUACCCUGAAUAAUAUGCUCAAACUUCCUUUUUUCAUCCUCAUCCAUAUCCUUAACAAGUCCAGAGGCAUUGUAGUAACUUGUGCACAUUGCUAGUAUCAUCUCUGCUGCUCCUUUCCAGUGUACAUGGAUUGAGUCAUCUGCCUUUCUCUUGACGAGAACUCCACUUUGUUUCUUCUUCGAAUUAAAGGCUUCAACGUGGAGAAUGCCACAACUCUUCACCACUAUCUCCAUAUCCAUCUUCGACCCAUGUACCGCCCAUGAAAGAAUAGCCUUUUCAGUUGGACUGCCUGAGAUUUCAAUUUCAGAAUCCAAGCUAGGCCUGUACACACUACCAGUUGUAUUGAGAGCAACCCCUUCUUGGAUCAAGUUGAGAACAUAAGGAGAAAUAGUUGAAUAAGCUUCUUCUUCCACAGAUUCUUUCCCCAACCAAAACUUGGUUACCUUCAUCUGGUUCAUGGUCAGAGUACCUGUUUUGUCAGUACAAAUUGUUGUUGCAGAUCCCAUGGUCUCACAAGCAGAGAGUUUCCGCACCAUUGCAUUAUCGACCAUCAUUCUCUUCAUGGAAUAAGCAAGAGUGAGAGUCACAGCUAAGGGUAGACCUUCAGGAAUUGCCACCACAACAAUUGUAACGGCAGCUGCUACAAUUCCAAUGACAGCGUUUAUUAUGUCAUCAGAUUUUGUCUUGCUGCCAUUGUACUCUUUGUUUCCAUUCUCAUCCUCGGUAUUCCCUGUGAAGUAUCGGACCAACAUGACUACAAGAACAAAGAAAGCAACCGCCAAACCAACUUUACCUAUUGAUGAAGUUAGCUUGUCUAGACGUGCUUGCAGAGGUGUUUUUUCACUCGUGUCUUGGCUGAUUUGGCUCAUCAUUGCACCCCAAUUUGUGUUCAUGCCUACUGAUGUGACUAGCAUCCGACCAUAACCAUCGGCGAUUUUAGUCCCAGAGAACAAGAAAGGAUUGACAGCCACACUAAUCUCAACAUGGUCGCUCUCCCCUGUCAUGCUUGAUUCAUCUACUGAUAAAGAAUGGCCAUCUAGCAGCAAUCCAUCAGCUGGAACCUGAUCUCCAAUGUUCAAGCAGAUGGCAUCGCCAACCACAAUUUCGAAUAUUGAAAUCAGUUGGCGCCUUCCAUUUCUCACGGCUUCAAUUUGGAGAUUGUUACUGACUUUCGACAAUUUGUCGAACUGUCUGCUUUGUCUGUAGUUGCUAAUGGCUGAAACAGAAAUGACCAGAAUGACCGCAAGACAUAUGCUUCCACCAUCAAUCCAACCUUCUUUUAAUCCAUGCUCUUUGAUACCGAAACCAAGAGAGAGCGCAGCACAGCCUAAAAGAAUGAGAAUUGUGAGGUCUUUGAAGGCUUCCCACACAAAAUGGAGAAAUCCUUGCGUUGGUGGUUUCUUGUAUGUGUUGGAACCAAAUGCUUCGUGUCUGCGCGCAAUGUCUUCGGCAUCAUCACCAUUAAUUCCAUGUUCUGCAUCAGUUUUGAGAGCUAAUGCCACUUCUGCCACCCCUCCAAGCUUCAAAAGCUCGUUGAGAUUUUUCUCCUUCACAAGCUCAGUGAGGCUUUGUUGGUCUGCUUUAAAUCCAUUAAUGAUUUGGACGGUGACUGGCUCGACCCUAACAAUGGAGUAAGACAGUGUGCGAGAUAUGAAUGUGGAGUUGGUAUGUUUGGGAAGAGUAGAAGGUUGUGAGGAGAGGAAGGCUCUAGAGCAGUAGAUGGUAAUGAAAGCAGAAUGCCAUUUUCUUUUGCUUAUACCAAGACUACUGCUCGGAUCAUCAAGAAUCAAUCCAACAUUGCUUCCCAAUUUUUCAUGCAGGGCACUGAAGGUUGAGCUACUCAUGCUCCUUUCGAAACUGCAAGGCGUAUUACAGAAACUACUGCGAUCAAUCAAUUGCAAGCUAAGAUAGUAUCGACAAGAUCGAAGAUGGGUUAUGAAACAAUUGUGUUAAGAAUGUUCAAGGGGAAAAAGGAUACGUUGUACGUAUAUAGCACUGGAAGAAUGCAAAAGCGCAAAGGUAAUGUUUGGAUAUGAUCUUGCAUUGCAUGCAUUCCCUACUUAUAUAUGCAGUAACUUGAAAUAAAACAUGAAACGAAAGCACCGCGUAUACAUCCAUGUUGAUGCUGUAGCAUUUCCAGGAAGAAAUCAUCAAUCAAUUGCCAACUUCAGGUCGAUUCAGUUGCCAAAAGGCCAAAGCUGGGUUCAGCUCGUUUAAGAAUUAGAAUACGCGUAAUGUGAACCCAGUAUAUUUCUUAAAGACCAAGAAAGAAUGUGUGACAUCGAGCCGUGUGUACCAGGGGUACGUCAUAGCUCAGUCAUUGAAUAUUAAGAGACUUGGGAUAGGGUUUUCCUAUGUGAUACAAAAGAAGGGUUAACAACAUGGAAUUGAGUUGGCAAUCCAAAUCGCUUUGGAGAAUAUUAAUAUCUUACUUAAUAAUUCAGAUUUGUCAAAAUGACUCAUAAAGUCAUAAUGGAGUGGUCAAUAAGUUUUGACAAAAAAAUAGUUCAUAGAAUUCCAUGUACCCAAACUCAAGUUGUACGUUAGUUGUCAUCAAAAGAACUCAAAGUUGUGGAUUCACGAAUACGUUCUUGCUAGCAUGCAACACAAGCAACGAAAGUUACACCCACACUUGAGAAUAAAUAGCAUGGUAAUUUCAUGCUGGAACUUCACCAUAACAACGUUGGAAAAAACCACCUAGUUUUCCAAAGUUGCCAUAUUAUGCGUUUUGUUUCCUGUCUUCACGUUUGGAUUUUGGAUGAGUCGCAUUUUUUGUCCUGAUAUUCUCAUGCUAUAGUUGUGUGUUGGAAAAUAAGAUCUUCAACAUACAGAAGAUCUAAAAGUGACCAGGUAGAGAUAUUUAAACAAGAAGAUAUAUACCAAGCUAGUAUUUAACUAUUUACAAUUAACUUCACCUGAAAACUAGUGUGAUCGAUAUAUUGAAAAAUUGAUCUUUCAAUCACAAAGCAAUGGGUAUUGGCAGAAAUUAAGGACACUUGUAAUGGAUCUCGACUCACUCUCGAGCCACCGGAGAAUGCAGUCGCCGUGAAAAAUGUGUAAGCAUGGGAAGCGAGUAGCUAUUAAACCAUCCUCGAUCAAAGUCGUCCUUACAAAUACCACAGGAUGUGUCAACUCUCACUCUCUCCAACCCCUCAAUGGCUGAUUUAGUUGCAGGCUAAGCUGCUUUUCAAAUAAUUCCUCCUCGUCUACUUCCCUUGCAUCGAUCCCUAUCAUCAAAAAUUUCAUUUGUAAUAUUCCCAUCAAAUCCAAUACGAGCAGCCCUGACAAACCAUCGAUGAAAGGCCUUACAAUCAAACAAUUCCAGAGUCUCAUUGUAGAUGUCCGCAUUAAUAAAAGCACCACCAGCAGCAGCAACAGCGUUGAUACUAGCAACUGUCUCAAAUAUUUUGGCAACAAUGGGUGCCUGUUCAUGCGGUGGAACACUCAUGCUUCUAAGAACUUGGGUGAUCAUAGUUGGCUGCAGCUCGAAACCACUUGGAAUUUUUAGUAAUAGUGGCUCAGUUUUGAGGUGGAUUUGUUCAGCAUCAGGCAUAGAUGUAUGUGCGUAGAACUUCACCAUCCCUCAGCAAUGAACCAACUUAGUUUGACUUGUAGAGACUGAAUCGGAUCUGAAGCAUGGAUGUUGGUGCAGGCGUGCAUGUUUUUGACUCAAUUUCAGCAUCUUUAUUAAUAAAGCCAGAAGGCUUUUUUGAUUUUGUCAACGGAACUUUAAAAUAUGUCAUCUAACAAAUGAAUGACAAAUUAAUAAUUACAAAUGUUGGAAAUAAGAAAAAAUGAAAAACAGAAAGAAAGAAGCUUAAAACGUGGGAGGUGAGAGAGAAAAGUGGAGAGGGAAAUCAGAUUUUUUUUCUUUUUUUGAGAAUAAAAAGGAAAUCAGACUUUGAGCAUAACUGUAACAAUAAAAAAAAAUAUUCAUACACGCACAUAGUGCGGGUGAAGAUGCUAGUAAUAAGAAUGCCGGUAUACGGUGUUUGAAGAAAAUGUGACGUCGGGUUCAUAAGAAGGGUAGUGCUAGAAGGCCUUAAUAAGGCUUAAAAUUUGUGGCUUUAAUCCUAUGUGUCAUGUCAUAUAAGUAAAUAAAAUUAUUUUUAUUUUCGAUUCCACAUAAUAUAUCUUACCAAAUCAAAACAUUGCAUUACCAAUUUUACCAUUUCUAUUUCCUUUUACAUUUUAAAGGGUGAAUCGAUGGGAUACAAAUUUGCUCCCCACCCUUACCUCCCCAUCUUCAUCCCCACCCACCUAGAUGCGCAUGACACAUGUCCUAUUUUAUUUAACUCAUCUAACCAUGGUUAACAAUAUAAAUCUAAAAUUAUUUAUUUAAUUUAAAUUUGUGGCAUUAGGCAUUUGCUUUUAAGGAUUAGGGUUUGGGGUUUGGGGUUUAGGGUUUAGGGUUUAGGGUUUAGGGUUUUAGAGUUUUAGAGUUUACUUAACUAUGUCUAAUCAUGAUAAAAGAAUAAGCCCUAAACUCAAAACUCGAAACCCCAAACCCCAAACCCCAAACCCCAAACCCUAAACCCUAAAUCCCAAACCCGAAACCCAAAACCCAAAACCCUAAAUAAUCUUACAAAUUUAAAUUAAAUAAAUAAUUUUAGAUUUAUAUUGUUAACCAUGGUUAGAUGAGUUAAAUAAAAUGGGACAUGUGUCAUGCAUUUAGGUGGAUGGGAAUAAAGGUGGGGAAAUAAGGUGGGGUGCAAAUUUGUAUCUGAAUCGAUGAUAUCAAUGUAUUUUAUUAGGUAAUGGAAACAAACAUUUCAAAUUAAUAGCAACCACUAAUUAUGAAUAAUAUAAGGAAUGUUUCUUACAUCAAUAUGAAGAUUAACUAUUUUUUAAAUAAUACUUAGCAGGCCCGGCCCUGGCCCAAUGCCAGCUGUGCGACCGCACUAGGCCCAAGUAGAAAGGGGGCCUAUCAACACAGGCCUUUCACGUACAAAAUAAGUAAAAAUAGAGAAAAUAUAGCCUUUGAGAUUCGAACUGUGGUUGUACAAAUACAAGAAAAACAAUAUAACCAUCUCUAUUGCAAGGACAAUUGUUGGUUGUCUUCAUAUUUUUUAUUUAUUACUAAAUCUCAUUGUUUUUUCUCAUCAUUUCUUCUCAAUGGCAUUUUUUUUUCUUUACAUCGAUUAACCAUUUACUUUUAUUAUAUUCAAUACUUUUGUAUCUGAAUAAAACUACUAAUGUUGAGAUUCAUCUUGUUCAAUAAAAAGGAAUAAAUAUUCUUUGAAUUAAAUUUGAAGUACCUAAUCUAUACUAAUUCACCUUACACUAUACUAACCUAUCAUCUAACAAUAUUGUUUUUCAUAUUUUAUUUGAAAUACGUUACAUAGUUGGUCUAAUGGAUAUUUUUAAAGAUAUAAAGACUUAAAGUUAUUCUACAAGUCUUUAUAGGCCCCAGUUUCUACAGUUUUCGUUGAAAUUUUAUCGAUCUCAAUAUUUUUUUUGAAUUUUCCGUCGAAAAUUUUAUUACUGUAUUCUGAUAUUGAUAUUUCAAUAAUUUUGAUAUUUUAGUCAUCAGCAUUGACAAUAUUAUUUAUUAGUUAUUGUUAGAGAAAAAAUGACUUUUCUUGAAUAAAAUAAAAAUAGUAUAAAUAGUUAUAUACUUUGACAUAAGGGGCCUAAUUUUUCUUUUUGCACUAGGCCUUCAAUUCUUCAGGACCAGCCCUGAUAAUUAGUUUUGUCAAAUAAACUCUAACCCUAACCCUAAUUCGUCCAAAAAGCAAUUAUAAUUCAUCAAAAAGAAAACACUAAUAUAAGAUAAUUCGGAUAUAAUUCAUCAAUUUUUUUUAAUUCGUCCAAAAANNNNNNNNNNNNNNNNNNNNUAUAAUUCGUCCAAAAAAUAAUUUAUAUACAAAUAAUUUCUCUAAAUCAUUUACAUACAGAUUAUUUAUUAUAUAAUAUACAUGUAGUUUUUUUUUAUAAUAUACAUGUAUUAUAUAUAAAUAUAUAAUAUAAUGUUAUUUUGAUGUUAUAUUUUUAUAUUUAGUUAGAUAUUUAGAAGAAGGAAAGCUAAAAUAGUUUUAUUUUUCAAUGAAAAACUAAAAUUUAUUAGUCAUUGUUUGAAAUUAAUGGACCAAAUGGUAAGAUGGUUUUUAUACAUAAGUAUUACAUGACAUAAGAUUUUUAAUAUGUGAUGUAUCUAAGUGAUUUGACAUGCCACAUAGAUUUGAGGCCUAAAAUCUUAGGCCCUAAUAAGGCCUAGAAUCAUUUCCCUCAUAAGAAUUAUCAUGAGGCAUUGGAUGUCGGCACAAAGGACCUUGUGAUUCUUCUCCAGCCACCGGAAAAUGCAAGUUCCAUGAAAAAUGUGUAAGCAGAGCAAGCGAAUAGCUGUAACACCUUUCUCAAAUUCGUCCAUGCAAACACCACAUGAUCUAUCAAGUCUCACUUUCUCCAACUCGUUCAAUUUUCUUUAAAGCAGUGGCGCACCAAGACAAUAUAACAUAAUGGCAACUAGUCGCGACGGAGCGUAAGGACUCUACUUCUUUCAGUAGAUACUUGCAUUUGGGAUCAUGGUGUGGCAUGUAGAUACUGAACCGGAUGGGAAGCAAGGCGAAGCUAAUUGUUUCAAAUUCACUCCGAACAUGCAGUUUCCAUGGAGGGUGGCCAUGUUUCCCACUUAACUUCGGUGAAAUACUGGCGGUGGUAAUCUGACAUGCUUAUAUAUGCUACGUACAACUUGGGGAAAGCUCGCUUUAGUGGUUUACUGGUGGAAUAUAAUGUACCAAUAUACAGAACUGAGAUAUAGCUGAUGACUGAUGAUGAGAGACCACAGAAUACAUAUAUAGCCAACCACUUUCAUACUCCUAGUAGGACCCGGAUUUCCUUGCAGAAUGAGAGGAGUACAAAAUACGUACAUAUACAUAUAUUUUAAAAUUUAUUCUUAACGCUCCUAUUCUUGACGUUCAAAAUUUAUAUGUCUAGGCGAUCUAUACAAAGAGGACACCGAACUCAGAAAUCAGAAUCAUGAUCAUUGGAUUCAUUGCCACUCUUACAUUUAGUUAAGAAGUUCAAUUUACUAACCAAUGACAUAUAUAGCCGUGAACCAUGUUUAGAGGUCGGUUGUGGUCUUCGGCUUUAGACAACGUUAAUCGGAACUUCGGCGUCUUGGUUUUUCCACACGUGUACAUUUAUGUUGCUGAAAACCUGAAAGAUUUAGUCUGAUCCAUAUAUAUAAGGACUACAUUUAUGUAGUAGGACGAAUCCCAAACAAGCGAGGAAAGGAAAGAGAGAAACUUUGAGAGCUGUGAAUCGAAUCACAAAAGUCCCUUCUACAUCAGUUCAAGGAGUUGGGAGGCGGGAUAAAGAAGUGGGCAUUUUCUCUCGAAAGUUAAAACUAGCAAUCCAUAGUGAUGCCCACCAAAUGUUCGAUGAAAUGCCUUCCCAAGAAUCUUGUGAUUAUCAUCCUUUCAGGCAACACUGUUUAAACUCUAAAUCCAUUAGGCGCCGAAUGUGGGAUGCUCCGGGGAUGUCAGGUACUAGGUGCAGGAGAGAAAAUAAGGUCUGCAAUAUUGGAAACACCAUCAGAGACAAUAGAGAAGGUGGGCCAAAUGGGCGAAACGCGUCACGGACAUGUCCUCUACAUUUGACAAGCUUCUAUUGCUGCAAUGCUUGAACCAGAAGGGUCUUCUACAUAGUUGCAGUGACAGCCUUGUGUUCAUCCAAAUAUUCCUGCCCAAAUGUAUGUUGCUGCUGAUGCAUUCAACUUUGGUGCAGCCAUUUCAGCAGGUGAUUUUAUUUUGUGUCCAUCUUUUACUAUCAACAUGAUAAAUGUUCAUCACAUGAAAGAUUCUUAUAGUCAGUCACAAUCAUCAGAAACUAUAUGCAGUAGGUUUUGGUGAAGAUACACACGUACUGUAUGUUGCAUUGGAAAAAAAAUGGUGAACAUAAUAUAAAAUCAUACUGUUUUAAAAAAUUAAAAUAGUAAUAACAUACUUACAAAAAACCUAGUAAGCAGUAACUACCGAUUAUUAGUGAAUAUAUAUACUGUUUUGAACCAAACAACUAACCAACCAACCAUGCAUGUUCUUCCCCUGCUAAUGUUCAUAUGGGGUGUUUUUCUUCAUCUUCAGAUAGCUGAAUAUGGGUCUUUCUGGAACCGGCAUACACUUGACAAGCCAACCAACUGGCCAAGAGAUGAUUGCAAUCCCAAUACAUAAACCCCAUUGUCCCCAAUUCAACCUCUCUGUAUCUGCAAAUUUCUUCAGAACCUCUACCAUCAAAACCUGAAGAACAAUUGUCACUGCAAUGAUGCCCAUAAACAACUUGUUGGUGUGUAUUCCCUUGAAGACAUUCUUCUUCUCUAGCUUUCUUGCGUUAAACUCAUUGAAGAUCUGGCAAAGCACAAAAGUGUUGAAGAUCAAUGUGUCCUUUACCUUAUCACUCACACCGAAGAUGGCUUUUCCCUUGAAUUGUAAAAUCAAGAGGACAGUUAUCUGGUACAGUGCUUGAGGCAAGAGGUUCCUCCACAUGAUGUUUGUGAUGAGAGGCGCUGUCCUUCCCACUGGUGGCUUCUCCAUAAGUUCUUUUGUGGGUUUUUCUGUGGCAAGAGCAAGAGCUCCAAGUGUGUCCAUUAUCAAGUUUACCCACAAUAACUGAACUGCUGUUAGUGGGACUUGACCUGCGGAAACUGCUGCUACAAAGUUGAUCACAAGAGCUGCAACAUUGACGGUGAGCUGGAAUUGAAUGAACUUCUGGAUAUUAUUGUACACACAUCUCCCCCACAUCAAAACUGUAGCCACUGAAGCAAAGUUAUCAUCCAUGAUCACAAUAUCUGAGCUCUCUUUAGCAACUUCUGUUCCUUGAAUCCCCAUAGAAAGUCCUAUAUCAGCUUCUUUUAAUGCUGGUGCAUCAUUGGUACCAUCACCGGUCACUGCAACAACAUGACCUUUCUGUUUCAAGCAUUGCACCAUUAGAAGCUUAUCAAAAGGGGAAGACCUUGCCAUCACACAAAUUUUGUCAACUUUCUCCAGUCUCUCUUCUGGCGUGUAGUUGCGGAAUUCCACACCUUCAAUCACUGCUCCGAACAUGUCCUGACCAGUCCUGAGUAUCCCACAUUCAGUGGCUAUCGCUUUUGCGGUGAAAACAUUGUCGCCGGUAAUCAUUUUGACAUUAACCCCUGCAUAUUGACAUUCUUCAACUGCUUUCUUUACACCUGGCCGACAUGGAUCCUUAAGACCAACAACUCCUAAUAGGGUCAGUCCAUCUUCCAUAAGCACAAAUUUCUGGUCUUUAUUUAGAUGCUCUUCUGCAGGAACUUUUUUAUGAGCAAACGCUAUGCAUCUGAGGCUGCUAGCUGCCAUACCUUGAAUAAUCUGCUCAAACUUCCUCUUUUCAUUUUCAUCCAUAUUCUUAACAAUUCCAGAGGCAGUGUAGUAACUUUUGCACAUGGCUAGUAUCAUCUCUGCUGCUCCUUUCCAGUGUACAUGGAUUGAGCUAUCUGUGUUUCUUUCCACUAGAACUCCACUUUGUUUCUUCUUCGAAUUAAAGGCUUCUACGUGAAGAAUGCUACAACUCUUCACCACUUUCUCCAUAUCCAUCUUCGACUCAUGUACUGCCCAUGAAAGAAUAGCCUUUUCAGUUGGACUGCCAGAGAUCUCCACUUCGGAUUCCAAGCUAGGCCUGUACACACUACCAGUUGUGUUGAGAGCAACCGCUUCUUGGAUCAAGUCGACGACAUCAGGAGAAAUAGAUGUAUAAGCUCCUUCUUCCAUAGAUUCUUUCCCCAACCAAAACUUAGUAACCUUCAUCUGGUUCAUGGUCAGAGUACCUGUUUUGUCAGUACAGAUUGUUGUUGCAGAUCCCAUGGUCUCACAAGCUGAGAGCUUCCGGACCAUUGCGUUAUCUACCAUCAUUCUCUUCAUGGAAUAAGCAAGAGUGAGAGUCACAGCUAAGGGUAGACCUUCCGGAAUUGCCACCACAACAAUUGUAACGGCAGCUGCUACAAUCCCUAUGACAGCGUUUAUUAUGUCAUCAGAUUUUGUCUUGCUGCCAUUGUACUCUUUGUUUCCAUUCUCAUCCUCGGUAUUCCCUGUGAAGUAUCGGACCAACAUGACUACAAGAACAAAGAAAGCAACUGCCAAGCCAACUUUACCUAUUGAUGAAGUUAGCUUGUCUAGACGUGCUUGCAGAGGUGUCUUUUCACUCGUGUCUUGGCUGAUUUGGCUCAUCAUUGCACCCCAAUUCGUGUUCAUGCCGACUGAUGUGACUAGCAUCCGGCCAUAACCGUCAGCAAUUUUAGUCCCAGAGAACAAGAAAGGAUUCUCAUGGACACUAACCUCAACAUGGUCACUCUCCCCUGUCAUGCUUGAUUCGUCUACUGAUAAAGAGUGGCCUUCUAGAAGUAAACCAUCAGCUGGAACUUGAUCACCAAUUUUCAAGCAGAUGAUAUCACCCACCACGAUUUCAAAUAUUGAAAUCAGUUGGCGCCUUCCAUUUCUCACGGCUUCAAUUUGGAGAUUGUUACUGACUUUCGACAACUUGUCAAACUGUCUGCUCUGUCUGUAGUUGCUUAUGGCUGAAACAGAAAUAACCAGAAUGACCGCGAGACAAAUGCUUCCACCGUCAAUCCAACCCUCUUUCAAUCCAUGCUCUUUGAUGCCGAAACCAAGAGAGAGUGCUGCACAGCCUAAAAGAAUAAGAAUUGUGAGGUCUUUGAAGGCUUCCCACACAAAAUGGAGGAACCCUUGUGUUGGUGGUUUCUUGUAUGUGUUGGAACCAAAAGCCUCGUGUCUACGCGCAAUGCCUUCAGCAUCAUCACCAUUGAUUCCAUGUUGUGCAUCGGUUUUGAGUGCUGAUGCCAGUUCUUCAACCCCUCCAAGCUCCAGGAGGUGGUUGAGAUUUUUCUCCUUCACAAGAUCAGUGAGGCUUUUUUGAUCAGCUUUGAAGCCAUGAAUGGCUGGUGAUGAAACUGAACCAAUGCUAACAAUGUAGUAUGGAACCGUGCGUGAUAUGAAUGUGGCUUUGGUGGCUUUGGGUUGAGAAGAAGGUCGUAAAGAGAGGAAGGCUCUAGAGCAGUAUAUGGUGAGGAAAGCAGAAUGCCAUUUUCUUUUGCUUAUGCCAAGACUAGUGCUGGGAACAUCAAGCAGCAACUCAAUGCUCCCAAAUUUUGCAUGCAGGGUGGUAGCUUUAGACAUGGUUUGUUCAAAUAGCAAAUUUACGCACUGGAUUGUUGGAAGAGAAAACAGUACUCACCUACGUAAAAUUUGAGAAAACGAUCCUGGGGAUUAUUGUAAAGUAUCUAGAAUGCAAUACUAGAAUGUAGAAUAUUGGAUAAGAUGUUGUCUCCUUGAUCUCCUAAACGUUGGUAUUUAUAAUCCUACAUUCCUUACAAAAGAAAUGGUUUUAGUAACGUACACUGCAGGCAUUGGUUCCUCCACGCGCCAUUCACUCGUUUACGCUGUUGGCUUUUUCUUUUUUAUGAUUUGUUUUGUUCUUUCGAAGAAAAGCUAUGCUUCAUUGCAAAUGAAGGCAUUCUUAUUUUCCUGGUCAUGAUCUAAUAAUUUCCCAUAUUCCUGUAUUACCUGUAUGAACUAUAUGAAUCGAAUAAAUGAAGUUUGUUGAACCGUUUUAAGUAUAUUGGAGAUGGUGAACAACUAUAUUUCUAUCUCCAUAGUCGUCGUCGGUGAACAAGAUGUUAUGGUCUGAACAUGUGCACUGUGCACACGCGGCGGCGCCGCUCUACAUGACGGCCAAAGAUUAAACCAUUAUUGAGAAUUUCAUACUAGCAACCUCCCACAAAAAGUCCUACGUACGUACCCACACUAACUUUUGUCUGGCAAAAUAAUUAAGGUAGGAUUAUGAACUACUACACCAUGGCGUGUGACACGAAGAAGAUCAACGGAAACACAUCACCUGUGCCCAAUUUCCAUCUGCCCAUUAUGUGCCACCAGUAAAAGCCUGACAUGUGGAAUCCCAUUCAACACCAACUUAACAGAAGUUUAACUCUGUUAGUUUUGAUUAAAUUUAAUUCUUUUACAAAAAAAAGAAAAGAAAAGAAUUCUGACGUCUUUCCUUCUUCCUUUCUGCUUAUUCACCUCUCUUCUUCAUCGUCUGUCUUCUGAGAUAUUCUCCCCCGACUCCGACUAAGAAAAAAACCCAGAUCUUUAAUCCCGGCUUAACUAAGUGAGAUUUCAAAGCUUGUGGAACCCCAUUUCAUUAAGAAAUUAUUGGGAGAGAAAUUGAGAAUAUGAUCCUAAACCUCUCAUAACCAAAACACCACCCAACACUGUUGUUUAGUGGCUCAUUUUGUCUAUGUUAAUCUUGUAUUGGAUUAAGGGUUGUUUUGUAAAAGCCUUCUUAAGGCUUUAUAAGGGUAGUAAUAGGGUUUCUCCCGAUUAAGAGAGUGGAGUUAUUGUUCUGCUGCCGAAAGAACACUAUUUGAGAGCUGCUGUGAUAACAGAGCUGUAGUGUCAUUUUGUAAACUAUUGUUGUUAGUGGAUUUCAUUCUUCCUGCUGCUCCGUGGACGUAGGCUAUUGCCGAACCACGUUAAAUCCUUUGUGUUCUCUUUUGUUCUCUGUUCUUGCAUAGAUUUGAUCUGUGGGAUAUUUACCGCAGUAAUCUCUUGUUCAUCUGUUAGUCGUUGUUAGUUGCUGCUGUUACUCUGUUAGUUGCUGCUGUUACUCUCUGUUAUUGCUGCAGUUAUUUGGUCUGAGCGCAACAAACACAUCAGCAUAAAGCUUUGAUUCUUUGAACUUUCACAGUUCACCACCAACCCAACAUUUUAAUUUCCUCCACAGCACACCACCAAUCUCAAUUUUCCUUAUCCAAGUAUAUCCUCGCAGACCCACCAUGGAAUUUCCCAUCCGAAUUUGAACUUAAACGCAAUAGGAGAGAAACAAUCGAACUCGGUAUCCUUUCUUCUCCCCACAAGGACCCAAAAUAUUGAAUCAAAUCUUAUUUCAACAAGAAACCCAGAAAGAAGCCAAGCACAGAAAGUUGAAUAAGGGCUCAAAAACAAGUAUGCACGCAAGUUUCACCUCAGAUUUCAUCAAAGCAAGCCGUCAGAAUCUAAAAUUGAGGUCUGCUUGUGAAGCUUUAUAAUGGGUGUAUGAAUUUGACCAGAUCUCGGUUUUGAUUGAAGUAGAGGAGAAGAUCUCAACAAGACAUCGUCUGAUGAGAAGAAGUAGAGGAGAGGAGAAGAGUUUUUUCGAUAAAGGAACCGGAGGAGAAGAGUUGAAAAGGAAGAAGGAAAGGUCUUUCUAUUAUCUUUUAGGUAAAAAAAGAAAAUCAAAACUAACAGAGUGAAACCUGUUAAGUUGGUGUUGAGUGAGAUUCCACAUGUUGGGCUUUUAUUGGUGGCACAUAAUGGGCACUUCGAAAUUGGGCACAGGUGAUGUGCUUACAAGAUCAACUGGCCGACUACAUUUUCCUCUUCUUCGUUAGUUCUGGAACAUUUUCAGUAUACAUUUAUGUACAUACAUACAUAGAUUAUCAGGAUUAGAUAAAAUAAUAUAUAAACAUGAUGGUUAAACAUAUGAAUUCUUAUAAACGGUUAAGAUUACAUCGUAUAAAUACACGUCGUGUAUAUAAGAAUUUCCACUUGUUCGUUGACAAAUUCUAAUUUGAUCGAGUUCCAUUAUUUCUGAGAUUUCUGGGAUUUCUUGGAAGACACCCAAUUUAGAUUCACAUACAUUCCGAGUCCUUGAUCAUACGGUCUAUGCCUAUAUGGUACAAUUUCUCAGAUUUUUUGUAUAUAUUACCCUAUCAAUACAUAUACUUUGAAUAAACGAGUGAUAAUUAAUACAAGUACUUGUUGCAUGUUCAUUUAUAGGAAAAUUUUAGGAUAAUGUAAAAUAUUUAUAAGAGCAACUCUAAUAUAUAUUGGUCAAAUGAUAUAUGUCCAUAUCUUUGGUCACAAUCUAGGUGGCGAUCGCAUCGACUGUGUCAAAGUUUUUGAUGUGCGAAAAUAUAUCUUGAUUUCUAACCAUGUUUUGUAAAAAGUUGAAAAAUGACCAUAUGAAUGCACAAAGUCUUUAUUACCCAUAAUCAUACGAUUUGAAUAAACAUUGAAUGAUCGAAUUGAUCUGUCUUGCUAGUUCAAAAUAUUAGAGAGAUGACGGUUAAUUUUGAGUCCAUAAUUAUAAUAAUAUUUUUCGUGAAACUAAUUUUAUGGCUGAUACUAUUACUAAUUAAUCUUGAUCAAUUUAAUGACACUUCUUUGUAUUAGAAUGCUAUAUAGGGUUCCCGGUGAGGUUUAUAAACCUUUGCUAUUUGAUACUGUAAACGAUAUUGAAUGCCACUUUAAUUUAUAUAAGUUUUAGCUCUUUAGAAAAGUGUAUGAUUCUAACAUUUAAAUAAAACUUGGGUAACCACACCUUAUAUAGAUCAUAUAUCAUCGACAAUUAAUUGAGUGAUCAUUAGUUUAUGAUUGAUCAAAAUAUACAUAAUAUAUUUUAUGUGUAACUCAUGCUAAAUAACAUCAACUGAUCUUGGAAAUUCCCAUGAAACAACGGAGAGCAUUCUUUCAGCAACAACAGAGCGAGCGCGCUCGGGGAGACCACCGCCACGAAGGCCUCAACCACCUCGAGAUAGAGACAUCUUUAAGGCAGGCUGCCAUAGAGGUCGCUCUCUGUAAAUAGAUGCUGGUUCUAAAUGGCUUGCGCUUAUAGGCUAAAAAUAGGCUGUGUGGGUCUAUCCCUUUAUCAUUCUGCAUUGUUUAUGCGGUCAAACAUACUUGAGAUAGAGAUAUCAAACUGGAAUUUAUUAAUAAUAAAAAAUAAUACAGAGUCUUGGCGUCUGUAGUUGUGAUCUUAUUAUGACUUCUCGUUUUCUGUUUGUCAGGUUUAGGAUGUUGGUCUCUUGAUUUACGCAGAAUGGAUGAAAUGUUGCGUGGACAAGGGGGUUGGAGAGAGUUCGCUGUUCUAGGAGAUACGAUAAACAUGUUUACUGGCAUGAUAAGAGGGUUGAUCUUGAUGUAUAAUGUUUCGCGAGACUCGUACAAAUUACGCUCUCUGCUGCGCCACUCUUUAUUAUCAAAUUUGGAUAUCAUUUGGCUACCGAAUUAGAUUAGAUGAAUCAACUAAACAAAAUAUGUUUAAACAGAACUGUUCGUGUAAAUUACAAUUACGGAAGUUCAAAUGAUCUCCAAAUUGGAUGAAAUUUUACAGAAAUGAUCUACACAUUAUGUUAUAAACACUCAACGGUGAAGAUGUGAAAAUGUGACCUAAAAGUGAAUGAAACAAGGAGCACCACACUUUAAUUUUAAAACGAUGUCCCGCUCUAGAAGGGAACUCUGUGUGUGUGUGUGUGUGUCAUUUUCAGAUACAAACAUCCUUAUUUAUUCAAAAUGUAUGAAUUUCUUUAAUUUGACCCACUUUUCGAUCAUAUUUUCUCAUCUUAACCGUUCACAUUGUAAGUAUAUAUGAGUAGAUCAUCACUACAAAUUUUCAGCUAAUUUGGAGAUCAUUAAGGUAUCAAAAAUGAAUUAAAUCAAUGAACAAAUUGAAACUGUUCAACCUGAACCGUUCGUGUUUUUAGUUUAGAAUCACAUCUUUGAAUGUCUUAACGAUUAUCAAGGAUCACUCAUUGUGACUUAUAUGAGGGAUUGAGCAUUUGACAAACAUUUUGAUCACAUUUUUUGAUCUUAACUAUUUAGCUUUUAGGUCAUGAUCGUUAAGGUACUCAAAACGGCGAUUUAAAAUUAAAAGUAUGAACGGUCCAGGUUUAGCAGAUUUGAUCCGUCUAUUGCUUUAAGCUUUAAGCUAGGUCGACCUUAACAAUUACCAUUUUAGCUGAAAAUUUUCAGAUUUGAUCUAUUCAUAUAGACCUAUAAAGUGAACGGUGUAUAUCAAAAAAUGUGAUCGAAAAGUUUGUCAAUUGUUCAAUCCCUGAUAUAAACCAUAAUAAGGGAUCCUUUAGUGGAAUGACCAUAUGUGUGUGUAUAUAUAUAUAUUAUAAUAUUAUAUAUUUGUAUUAUUAGGCCAUGAAAAAAUCUCAUAACUCGGAAUAUAUAAAUAACAUCAAAUUCAUCAGAAAAAUUUCCUUGCAACAAUUCUUUCAUACUGAUUGGAGGAAGAACAUGCAUCAGAAUUCCAAUAAUUAUUGAAUCUUUGCCAUGGGGUGACCACUGACUAGUCAGCAAUGCUUAAACCCCGAGCUGAGUCAAAUACAAAGACACGUUAAGGUUGAGACUAGAGAAAGAAUGGUGCAAGCCACAAUAGGAUAGAGAAAUAGCUAUACGUUCAUACCACGUCUGCAUAUCUCGCUGUUACAGGACGUAGUCCUCAUAUGAAGAAGCUGUGGUGCGCUGAUCAAAAGAAGAUCUUAAAGUAAAUUCGAAGAACUUAAUUCACUAGGUACAAAGUUAAAGAAGAAGAUAUAUGGAAGGAGUAAGAUAAAUACAAGAGUUACAACGUACUAAAUUCACUCUAACUUGGCGUCCAAAUUCCCUAACAAUUAAGACCAAAAAAAUUUGGUCUUUUAACCAAAAAAAGAACGAGAAAAAGGAACUUAGCGUGAUCGAUAUUUUGAUAUAUAUCUUUUAAGCAAAGGGUAUCGAUAGAAAGGUCGAGCCUCGCGAUAUAGUUGCAGCUAGCGAGAAUCCUAGGGUUGUAUGCCAUUUCCCAUAUCCUCAAGGGCUUCUUCCCAUGCAGUCCUAGCUGCCUAGCAAUAUUAGUUUGGAUUGUAAUCGGAUGAUCGAUUCCGAUAAGUCUAAUCUUGAACUGUUAUCGACCGAUUAAAAGCCCUAAUAUCAAGCAACCUCAAAUAUACUCGUCAUGUUGUUGAGAAUAUUGGAGUUUCUUCCAUUUGGUUCAUGUAUCUAGUUGAUCAACUCUACACUGAUUUGGGCAUCUUUUUGUGUCUAGUUGUCUUCUUCCCCAAAAGUCUCCUCCCUGCAGGUUGUAUCACUUUGGCUUCCACGAAGCCUUCUUUUGAAUUUUCUUUAGUUAUAAUUAUCAACCUUCAAUCCAUUCCUUUUAGUCUUCUAGGCGUCGGCUGUGGAAAAUUGUUCAUGUUAAGGACGCAGCGGCGUUCGUCAAAGCUUUCCGUCUGGCACACACGUUACGUAUAUAAAAGCUUUACUCAUUCAUUCUCAUGAUCUCAUCAUCCCGGUAGUCCCGGUAGUACUGUACGUAUUACAUAUUGCAUAAUCACUUUGCCUUAUAUGAUGGACUAAAUACUAGUAAUACGUAGAGACUAUUCUGUGUUCUGUCUGACAGUGAUGUCUGUCAAACAGAAUCGGUCCUGGACAUAAGCCAACCAAGCUUUUGCUUUGGGCCCUAAAAUUUGAGGGUCCCAAUAAAAAAAUCAGACAUAUAUAUUAAAGGAAAAAAAAAAAAAAAAAAAAACCUAACAGCAUACUAAGCGUCCAAACGCAUGCAUUUUCAAGUGCGCACGCGUCUUUCUUGUAUUAAGGUCUCCUUGCAGCAGCUCUCAAUUUUUCUCAGAUGAAAGUCACGAAACUCUUUUCAGGUAACUUUGUCCUCCUUUUCUAAUGAGUCCAAUCCCAUGAUUUUUGCAAUAUCAUCGUUGAGAACUUGAGAUUAAAAAUGAGAAGAGUUUUGAUUUCAAUUCAGAAGAUUGAUUGUAAGAUAGGUUUUAGUUUGAGUGUUUGAUAUUUGAUUUCAAUUCAUAGUCCAAUCCCUUCUUAUUUUCGUUUCCUUUUGUAGUAUUGUUUAUCUUCACAAAACAACUAUUGAAAUAUGAAUGGUAUAAAACAUGACCUACUGUGUAAUAUCAUAUCAGUUGUAACAAACAUAUUUUACCUUAUAAUUGAAAGUUAUCAUUGAUAAAAGAUAGUGGUAUGGUUCUAUGGGAGUAGGUUCAAUUGCAAUUGGGUUUGUUGUUUUUGUCGGGUUUGAUAUCGUCACGUUAUAGUGAUGGUAUUAAACUAAGGGAAGUGAAAUUCACACUCGUUAAAUUGUAAUCUACGCUCUCACUUUUCAUUUGUGGUAACUUAACUUUUGUCUUUUUAUGUUUUUUUUUAAACCUCGAUGAAACGAGGGUAAUUUAUUAAAAAGAAAAAAAAGAUGAAUACACCAUAGUAGAAGGGACCUAACUCCACUCUUAACAAAAACAAAAAACAAACCUAUAACUCACAACAAAACAAAAAACCAAUGUAAAUGGUGACUAAAAAUAAAAAAUGGGAGUGUAGAUUACAAUUUAGGGAUUGUGGAUUUCACAUCCCUAAACUAAAGUAUGGGUGUUAGGGGUCAUUCCUCUCUCACUUAUCUUUCAGCCAAAAAAAAAAGGUUUAAUCAGGGGGAGUCCCAAUUUUUGUCUUCGCUUAGAGCCCCAAAAUCUCGCGCCGGCCUUGCCGUCAAAACUCAAGAAUAGAGCUAGAGAGACUCAUCUAGUCAUCUGUCAGUGAGUCGGAGUUGAAAGUGUCAAAGUAAAUGUCUGUCAGUGAGUCGGACCUGAAAGUGUCAAAGUAAACGUACAACUGUGACCUAGAAGAAGAUUCGAAACGUUUGGAUUCUUUUUUACUCUCGAAGCAGCCUAUAUAUAUGCAUGUGUAUAUCUAAUAUCUUAGACAAUCGACUCCUGUAUUCCUUGCUCAAUCAAGAUGAUGUGUUUAUAUCUGCAUCUUCAGUUCUCCUCAUCAAUUUUAUCCUCUUUUUGUUCCCCUUUUACUUCAAAGUUGAAACUAUUCUACCCAAAUUUGCAUACACCAAACAACCCCAAUAAUGCCUACUAUUUUCCAUAUUAGUGCCAGAAAUUGCCUUCCCCAGUUCAUGGUGGUGUUGUUGAUUGACCACCACCAACUGCAUGGUUGAUAAGUUGCUUCAAACAAAUACAAGAAAUCACCAACAUGAGGCCGGGGUUCUUUUUUUGUGGAAUUCCAUGAAGUUAGUGGUGAGCUUUCUUGAUUUUAGAGUGCAGAUUAGCACAGGUUUUGGUUGAAGCCAAGUUUACGUUUUUCAUCGUUUCUGUUGCAGCUUCACCAAUCGUCACAGGCUCAAAAGUCAACGACACUACCCAAAUUGAAGCUGUGAGAGAUGGUGUCAGCACAAGAUUUCAGUAUUCAAAAUUGAGGUUCGCGUUGCCAGUUUGCUAAAGAUUGGAGAUCUUGAAGACUACUCUUUACAACUAGACUAAAUCAAGCAUGUGUGGCCAUUCUUUGCAAAUGCAGUUAGUCUUGCUGUGGUACAAAUUCCAGGUCAAUCUACUACCAGAAGGUUGACAAUGAAAAAAUAAAAUUUCGGCAGGUGUAGGAUGUAGCAUUCUCCUUGUUGAGGCCUUCAACUCGGAGACAAUGCCGAGUGGUGUCUUGAUUAAGAGGAAGGCAGACAAUACAAUCCAUGUACAUUAUGAAGGAGCUGCUGAGAUGAUACCAGAAAUGUGCACAUGUUAUACAAUGCCUUCUGAGUUGUUAAGGAUAUGGAUUACAAUGAGAAAAAGAAAGUUUGAGCAGAUUAUUCUAGGAAUGUCAGCCAGCAGUCUCAGAUGCAUCGUGUUCGCACAUAAAGAGGUUCCAGCAGAGGAGCAAAUUGAGGUAGACCAUAAAGUUUUGCUACAAGGAAGAUGGAUUGACCCUUUCGGGACUUGUAGGUCUUAAAGAUCCAUGUUGUUCAGGUGAAGAAAGCAGUGGAGACUGUCGAUAUGCAGCUCUGAACAUCAGAAUGAUCACUGAUGGAAUUGUUGUCACUAAAAAGACCCCAGCCACAUAAUGUGGAAUACUUGAGCCUGGUCAGAAACGCUCGGACCAGUCAUAGAAGGUGUCGAAUUUCUCACUACACUUCAGAACAGAGAAUGGAGAAGGUUGAGGCAAAAUGUGUAAAUUCAAGGUCUCCUCCUUUUGAUAAGCUUCUGAUGGUACAAUGCCUGAAGCAGCAAGGUCAUGUAGUCGCAGUGACAGGUGAUGGAACCUAUGAUGCAGCAUCAUUGAAAGAAGCUGAUAUAGUCCUUUCUACGGGAAUUCAAGGCACAGAAGUUGCUAGAGAGAGCUCAGACAUUGUGAUCAUGGAUGAUAACUUUGUUUUAGUUGACAUGGUUUUCAGAUGGAGAAGAUGCGUUUAAAAUCAGAUCUAGAAGUUCAUCCAAGCCCAGUUCUAAUGUAAAUGUUGGUGCUGUUGUGAUCAACUCUAGUUGCAGCCAUUCAUGACUCAUGAGGUACAUUGCUCAAUCUUUGUAUGACUAUUAAAUAUCAGAGUUUUUUUCAUCAACAGUCCCUCAACUCUGGUGUACCUACCAAUGUGAUACCUCAACUCUUAAUCGUACCAAUGUGAUACCCAGACUCUAGUAUUGCUAUCAUUGAAGUACUUCCGUCAGUUUUUUUCAACUUCUCCGUCAUCUUGGUGACGUGGCAAGUACGUGAGGCCCACAAAGAGGGUUAAAAGACAAAAUUAACCCCAUCUGAGAGGAGCAAUGUUUUUCCCGCCCUUUACCUUGAGAAAGACAUCCAACAAUUCCAAUUUUGGCGCCAAUUUUCCCUCCCUACUCCUUAAUUUGUGUCUCUUAUCUAAACUAAAGAACUACCGCCAACCAGUCGACCACAAUCUGAUAAAACCUAGAUCAAUCUCAUUUUCUAUUUUUACCCUAGCACUUGUUAAACUAACAGAAUAAAUAUAGAAAUUUAUAUGGAACAUCUCAUUUCCACAAUCUCAUAAGAAUAUAGAAACACAUAACUUAACGAAAUUCAAAUACAUGUUUAAGUACCAUUAGUUCUUACAAGCAAAAAUCAUGGCAGAUCAACAUAAAUACUGUUCCAUGAUGCAUAAUAAUGUUAUGCAACACUUAAUACACAACCUUAACCAAAAGCCAAAAUAACAGGUGAAAUCGUUAUAAGUGCUGCAAUCAAAAUAAGUCAAGCUACGAUUCAAAGUCCUGCCCACUCUGAAGAACCUUGGCUUGGUUGCAGAGGAUGGGAUGCUUCAUUCUGUGAACCUCUUGCAGCAACAUUUUGACCACUUUGAGUGGCAGCUUGCUGUCUUGUUUGUGAAGAUGAUGCAACAGCACUAAAACCAGCAUUUCGUUCCAUAGAUUCUUUGACCUUCUUCCAUGUCUUUCUUGACCUUAUGAUUUGGUUCCUCAAACUAGCAGCCCCCUGUGGAAGAGGUGGUCUUCUGGCCUACAAAGAAAUCAGCAAUAGUAUAAUAAGAGUGGUUAAUUCGAUCCUAUCAUCACUUAAUUCUCACAUUAAUUUUUAACAAAUAAUAAAGAAUAUUUUCUCAGAAUUUUCUCAGAAUCAGUGGUAUAGAGUUUUCAGAGUUUUUCAUAAACCACAUACCUUAGGGUUUCUUUGCUUUUUGUUAGCACUACUUGUUCCUGUUGAGGUUCCUUCUCCCUGUUAAUAUUUUGACAUGAGUUAGUGAUCGAAAUAAUGUUGUGAAAUGAGAUGUGACUUAAACUUAGUCUGAAGUACUUACAGUUGCAGCUGCCUUUGCUGCCUUGGUAAUUGGACAGUCCUAAUUUGUUAUGUCCUUGCUGGCCACAUAUUCCACAUGACAUCUUGAUUCCAGUUCUUGGAAGUUUCCCAUCUUUAGGAGCAGGUGGUGCUUUCUUCUCUUUCAUCUCCCCUGGUUCCCUUGUGCCUUUGCAUCUUAGGCCUACCUGGUUGCACCUUAUAAGGAGGAGGUGCGAUGGGGAAAUCCACUGGCUCCCAAUCAUCCUGCCCCGCAAUUGGAUAGAUCAUUGGAUUGUAGGCUCGCAAAUAAGUUGAAGACAUGAGAUAAUCGUCACAGUAGAGUGAUGCCUCAUGGUUCUUGAAUCUUAUCGCGCAAAUGGCAUGGACACAUGGUAUCCCACUUAGUUGCCACCUUUUACAUGUGCACUGAUGUUGCCCCAAGUCAACUGCAUGAACACUGCCCAUCUCUCCGCCUCCAGUGAUCUGAAAUAUGUAAUCCCCAGAUCUAUGUGCUUUAUAGCAUGACGCCCUCUGCCCAAUCUUGUCAAUUAUUUUCUUGAUCCUAGGACCAACUAUGUCCUUCCACUUCUCACAAGCAACCCUUCUAUUAGCCAUUCUUACCAUCAUANNNNNNNNNNNNNNNNNNNNNNNNNNNNNNNNNNNNNNNNNNNNNNNNNNNNNNNNNNNNNNNNNNNNNNNNNNNNNNNNNNNNNNNNNNNNNNNNNNNNNNNNNNNNNNNNNNNNNNNNNNNNNNNNNNNNNNNNNNNNNNNNNNNNNNNNNNNNNNNNNNNNNNNNNNNNNNNNNNNNNNNNNNNNNNNNNNNNNNNNNNNNNNNNNNNNNNNNNNNNNNNNNNNNNNNNNNNNNNNNNNNNNNNNNNNNNNNNNNNNNNNNNNNNNNNNNNNNNNNNNNNNNNNNNNNNNNNNNNNNNNNNNNNNNNNNNNNNNNNNNNNNNNNNNNNNNNNNNNNNNNNNNNNNNNNNNNNNNNNNNNNNNNNNNNNNNNNNNNNNNNNNNNNNNNNNNNNNNNNNNNNNNNNNNNNNNNNNNNNNNNNNNNNNNNNNNNNNNNNNNNNNNNNNNNNNNNNNNNNNNNNNNNNNNNNNNNNNNNNNNNNNNNNNNNNNNNNNNNNNNNNNNNNNNNNNNNNNNNNNNNNNNNNNNNNNNNNNNNNNNNNNNNNNNNNNNNNNNNNNNNNNNNNNNNNNNNNNNNNNNNNNNNNNNNNNNNNNNNNNNNNNNNNNNNNNNNNNNNNNNNNNNNNNNNNNNNNNNNNNNNNNNNNNNNNNNNNNNNNNNNNNNNNNNNNNNNNNNNNNNNNNNNNNNNNNNNNNNNNNNNNNNNNNNNNNNNNNNNNNNNNNNNNNNNNNNNNNNNNNNNNNNNNNNNNNNNNNNNNNNNNNNNNNNNNNNNNNNNNNNNNNNNNNNNNNNNNNNNNNNNNNNNNNNNNNNNNNNNNNNNNNNNNNNNNNNNNNNNNNNNNNNNNNNNNNNNNNNNNNNNNNNNNNNNNNNNNNNNNNNNNNNNNNNNNNNNNNNNNNNNNNNNNNNNNNNNNNNNNNNNNNNNNNNNNNNNNNNNNNNNNNNNNNNNNNNNNNNNNNNNNNNNNNNNNNNNNNNNNNNNNNNNNNNNNNNNNNNNNNNNNNNNNNNNNNNNNNNNNNNNNNNNNNNNNNNNNNNNNNNNNNNNNNNNNNNNNNNNNNNNNNNNNNNNNNNNNNNNNNNNNNNNNNNNNNNNNNNNNNNNNNNNNNNNNNNNNNNNNNNNNNNNNNNNNNNNNNNNNNNNNNNNNNNNNNNNNNNNNNNNNNNNNNNNNNNNNNNNNNNNNNNNNNNNNNNNNNNNNNNNNNNNNNNNNNNNNNNNNNNNNNNNNNNNNNNNNNNNNNNNNNNNNNNNNNNNNNNNNNNNNNNNNNNNNNNNNNNNNNNNNNNNNNNNNNNNNNNNNNNNNNNNNNNNNNNNNNNNNNNNNNNNNNNNNNNNNNNNNNNNNNNNNNNNNNNNNNNNNNNNNNNNNNNNNNNNNNNNNNNNNNNNNNNNNNNNNNNNNNNNNNNNNNNNNNNNNNNNNNNNNNNNNNNNNNNNNNNNNNNNNNNNNNNNNNNNNNNNNNNNNNNNNNNNNNNNNNNNNNNNNNNNNNNNNNNNNNNNNNNNNNNNNNNNNNNNNNNNNNNNNNNNNNNNNNNNNNNNNNNNNNNNNNNNNNNNNNNNNNNNNNNNNNNNNNNNNNNNNNNNNNNNNNNNGGUUUUAAGUAUUCAUAAUCUUUGUUGAUGAUUUUACAAGGAUUACUUGGUUGUAUCUUCUUAAAUUCAAAAGUGAAGUUCUUAAUGUCUUCAAAGACUUUCAUAAACUUGUCAACACCCAAUUUUCAUCUCACAUUCAAAUUUUAAGAUCUGAUAAUGGCUCUGAGUAUAUGUCUAAUAACAUGUCACAAUACUUGAGCACAAAUGGAAUUCUACAUCAGACUAGUUGUGUUGGUACGCCUCAGCAAAAUGGCAUUGCUGAGAGAAAGAAUCGGGAUCUUUUGGAGAAAACAAGAGCUCUGAUGUUCCAAAUGAAUGUGCCUAAGCGUUUUUGGUCUCAAAGUGUGCUCACCGCUACUUAUCUCAUCAAUCGGUUGCCUAGUAGAGUGCUUGGUGGUAAAUCUCCCCUUGAAGUAUUGAAAGGAAGGAAGAUCGACAUUUCUCACCUGAAAGUGUUUGGCUACAUGUGCUUCGUUCACAUACAAGCUAAUAAAAGAGGGAAACUUGAUCCUCGGGCUGAAAAAUGUGUGUUUUUUGGGUAUUCAUCAACUCAAAAAGGAUACAAAUGCUACAGCCCCUCCUCUGACAAGAUCAUUGUUUCCAGGGAUGUUAGAUUUGAUGAGAAUAGUCCUUUCUUUGCUAGGAAAUCAGAUGGUUACAGUCAGGGGGAGUCUUUAUUUGAUCUGUUUCCAACACCUAAUCUUCCUGUUGAUGAGGAUAGUAGACAUCCUUUCCAUCCUACUGCUUCAGUUCCAGCUUCAAGUUUCAGUCAUCCGGUUGUUAGGGAUUCCAGUCAAUCUUCUCAUCCUACUGCUCCAAUUUCAGAAGUUCAGGCAGUGCCUCUUGAUCCAGAUGUUGAUCAAUCUGAAUUACAUGUGCAACCUGUUGUUGAGCCGCUUCGUUCACCUCCAGUUGUACCUCGUAGAAAUCCUACGCGAGUACGAGGUCCUCCAGCAAAACUUAAGGAUUAUGUGACAUAUGCUGCGAGGUAUCCAAUGACUGCCUUCAUCUCUUAUAAAAGGUUCUCUUCUGCUCACUCUGCCUUUUUGAGUACUCUUGAUAAUAAUCAUGAACCUCAAAGUUUUGAGGAAGCCAAUAAUCAUGAUGUGUGGAAGCAAGCUAUGGUUGAUGAGCUUCAUGCUCUUAAUGAAAAUAAGACAUGGAGUGUGGUAAGGCUUCCUAAAGGGAAGAAGGCUGUUGGUAGUAGAUGGGUUUACAAGACCAAGUUUCAUUCUGAUGGGAGUGUGGAUAGAUACAAGGCACGAUUGGUAGCUCGUGGGUUUACUCAAACCUAUGGAGUAGACUACAAGGAGACCUUUGCUCCUGUUGCGAAAAUGAGUACCGUGAGGGUUUUGCUAUCAGUUGCAGUGAACCAUUCUUGGCCUCUUUACCAAAUGGAUGUAAAAAAUGCUUUUUUUAUUCGAAGANNNNNNNNNNNNNNNNNNNNAAACAAGAUCAAUAUAAAAUGACAAACACAGAAAUCUAUUUGGCUUUAUGCAAUUAUGCUUCAUUCUUUAUUAUCAACUCCAACUCCACGUACUAACCCAAUUUGUUUUUCACACCAUUCGCACACCAUGUCAAGGAAUUCCCCAUGUCAAAACCCAGGUUCAAGUGUGUGAUUUUGUGGGAUUGUCGUUUCACUACUAGUAAAGAAACUUACUUUUGGUGGCUGACCAUAUCCCUAAACAUUCUCCACAUCUUCGCCAUCGAAGAUGCUAUCAACUAUUCGAGAUUCGAUUUGAAGAAAGUUGAAAUAUUCUGACUUUUUUGGAGACUUUUGCUCUGUCUCCACUCUGAUAUGCUAGCAAAAGUGCAAAACGGCCCAGAAACAUAAUGGAAGAUCUAUAUAUAUGAGGGCCAGAUAAUCAGAAGACCAGAUUAGGUUUGCUUUGGUAAAAUUUCAUGUUUACCCCUCCUUGUGGGCCCCACGUAUUUGCCACGUCAUAAAGAUAACGGGGAGGUUGAAAAAAACAGACGGAAGUACUUCGAUGAUAGUAAUACUAGAGUCUGGGUAUCACAUUGGUACGAUUAAGAGUUGGGGUAUCACAUUGGUAGAUGCACCAGAGUUGAGGGACUGUUGGUGAAAAAAACUCUAAAUAUCAAUACCUACUGAGACUAAAAGCAUUUUACUUUACCAAAAUCUUAGCCUUUCUUCAAACAGCUCUGUGCUUAUUUAUUUUUUACUUCUUGUCAAACCCAUAAUAGAAAAAACUUAUGAACAUGUGUAUUUAUAACAUAUGGAAUUGUAGACUUUUAUAGAUCAAAAUAUAAGAGAAGUCAUAGUGUGAAAUUAUAUUAUAGAAUCAAUAUGUGAGAUCUUGAUAUUGAAUUUUACAUUUCGGUAAACUGGAGGUUCCAGACCCCAGAAACAAAACACUGCACCAGCUUAGCUCAUUAAACCUUCAAAAAAAGAAAUUUUGGUCUAGGCACAUCAUAGUGAUGAAGGGGAACACGAAUCAAUGGAAUCAUAGAGGUGGCAGGGAGUACAGGAAAGCAUGUACAUUCUAUGAAAAAUAUCCAAAUUAUCAGAAAAGGGUUCACAAAAUCUUUCAGUUAUUUGGUAGCUGAAACUUAUAGAGAGAAAGAUGUCUAGAUCAUGUUAUUAACUGUUCUUGGGAGAAAAAUAGUGUAUAUAUAUUACACCAAAGAUUGCUGGAGAGAGGAAAGAAUAUGCAAUGAAAGUUGAACAUAGAUAAAGGUUAAAUCACACUAAUUCUUGUAUAUGCUACAUCAUAAGAUUAAAACUACAAUAACAUUUAAGAAUAGAAAGAUUUAUGGUUUCAGCCUGAUGUUUUUUCAUCUGCCGAUAACUGAGCAAAGGUUUUUCUGGAACAGGACAUGGGUGAAGGUUUUACUGGAACAGGACAUGGGUGCUAUGCCAAUGCAUAUACCCCAUUUUUGCUGCAGUGAUUCCCAUAAACAACUCGUUGGUCUGUAUUUUAAAGAAAUUCUUCUUCUCUAGCUUCCUGGCAUUAAACUCAUUGAAGACCUGGCGAAGCACAAAAGUGUUGAAGAUCAAUGUGCCCUUCACCUUAUCACCGACACUGAAGAUUGCUUUCCCCUGGAAUUGUAAUAUCAAGAGCACUGUUACCUCACUUACCUGGUACAAUGCCUGGUAGAAUACCUUCUCUAUGAGUUCAUUGGUUUGUUUUUUCCGUGGCAAGUGCAAGAGCUCCAAGUGUGUCCAUGAUCAAGUUUACCCACAAUCACAGAACUGCUGUUGAUGGGACUCAACUUGCUGAAACUGCUGCUACAAAGUUGAUCAUCACAAAGACCUGCAAAGUUGAUGGUGAGAUGGAAUUGGAUGAACUUCUGGAUAUUAUUGUACACACAUCUACCCCACAUCAAAACUGUAGCAACUGAAGCAAAGUUAUCAUCCAUGAUCACAAUAUCCGAGCUCUCUUUAGAAACUUCCAUGCCUUGAAUCCACAUAGAAAGUCCUAUAUCAGCUUCUUUCAAUGAUGCUGCAUCAUAGGUUCUAUCACCUGUCACUGCAACUACAUGACCUUGCUGCUUCAAGCAUUGUACCAUCAGAAGCUUAUCAAAAGGAGAAGACCUUGCCAUUACACAUACUGCCUCAACCUUCUCCAUUCUCUGUUCUGGAGUGUAGUUGUGAAAUUCGACACCUUCUAUGACUGGUCCGUGCUUUCCUGACCAGCUCAAGUAUUCCACAUUAUGUGGCUGGGGCUUUUGUAGUGACAAGAAUUCCACCAGUGAUCAUUCUGAUGGUCAGACCUGCAUAUCGACAGUCUUCACCUGCUUUCUUCAUCUGAACAACAUGGAUCUUUAAGACCUACAAGUCCUAAUAGGGUCAAUCUAUCUUCCUUUAGCAAAACUUUAUGGUUUACGUCAACUUGCUCCUCUGCCGGAACUUCUUUAUGUGCUCAAACUUCCUUUUAUCAUUCUAGUCCAUAUAUAUACUUAACAAUUCCUGAUGCAUCAUUGCUAGCAAUGUGUACAAUUUAAAUUGUACUUGGACUGUAUUAUCCGCCUUCCUCUUAAUCAAAACUCUACUAUGUUUCUUCUUUGAAUUGAAGGCCUCAACAUGGAGAAUGCUACAACUCUUCACCACUUCAUAUCCAUAUACAUAUUAUGAACCGUCCAUGAUAGAAUAGCCUAUUCAGUUGGCCUAACCCCUCUUAGAUCAAGUUGAGAACACAAGGAGAAACAGAUGAUAAGCUUCUUUUUCCACAGCAAAACUUAAUCACUGUCAUCUGGUACGGUUCAUGGUUAGAGUGCAUGUUUUAUCUGUGCAUAUUGUUGUAGGCUUGUAGGCUUGUAGCAGACCCCAUGGUCUUACAAGUAGAGAGCUUCCGUACCCUUGCAUAAUCAUCCAUCAUUCUCUUCAUGGAAUAAGCAAGAGUGAGUCACAGCCAAUGGCAGACCUUCUGGAAUUGCUACUACAACAAUUGUCACUGCAGCUGCUACAAAUUUUGUCAUGAACUUUUGUCUUGCUGCCACUGAACAUUUUGCUUUUAAUUUCAUCCGUAUUCCCUUUGAAGUAUCGAACCAUUAUGACUACAUGAACUUAGGAGGGAAAUCAAUCUACAUGCAGCCCUUUAUUAAGCCUCAUGAAUGUUGAGAUUUGGAGGAUGAUAUUUGUGGAUUAGUUGUAAAAUUUGUGUUCUUAUGAGGGAAGUGUUUUGUGAUCUGGUUUACCCCUAAAAUACAUGCAACUUAUGGAAAGUUUACUGUAGAAUGGAGUCAAUGGACCGAAGUACCAAACGGAGACGCAUUGUUUUAAUGCAGGUAUCAGUGUGUCACGGCCUUACGGGGGUAGUUUUGAAAGUCAAGGUACCAAAAAUGCAAUAGGACAGUAGUCUAGGUACUAUGUUAGGAUUUUUUUUCUUUUAGUUCACCUCAAGGAGAUCCUCCUAAGUAGAUAUACUAUAAUCAACGCCUCGUCAAAAUACUCCAUCCUCCACUAGGUACCCUUUUUUAUGAGUAAGAUUUAUCUAACAAACUGUUCUUUAAUCAAGCAAAUAAUCUUCGCUCUCCACACAUUAGAUUAUUGAUGUUUAAGUUCCCAAGGUUUUCUUUCAGAUGGAUCAACUUGAUGCUCAUAUAGUAAGAGUUAGUAACACAGGUGUGUCUCUAGAAAGAACAACACCAAGCCGCAUGAUGUACCCCCGUCUAUCCUGGAUUUCUGCAACACACUUUCCAUAUACAAUGCCAUUCAAAUGCCUCAUAAUAAGUUGUCUGCGCCGCGCACAUUAUAGAAAUGGCUUCUUGCUCGAAAAGGCUUGGUUAGCGUGACCUUGACCUAGAUAUUGCCUAGCCUUUGGAGCAGGAAUACCAGUAGUUUAUAAUUUGGCGCACAUUAUAAUCAUAAGGGCAGGUCACCAAAAGGCAACAUCCACUUCAUCUUGCACAACAGACCACGACCUUUGUUCCGUUAUCAAUGUCCCAUGAACUUUUUAAGUCUCAGAUUUUCAAUUUUAGGUACUCAUGUAUCGAUUUGGCUGACAGAUGAGAUGGCCCAAAUGAGUCUUCUGCUUGAAGCAAAACCAAUGAGUAUCCAACACUACCAUUAUAAUCAAGUACUGUUACACACUUACACCCUGUCAUGCAAGCAUAAAGAAAGCUGGUGUUAAAUGAUUUAUAACUGCAUCAUCAUCAUCAUCAUCAUCUCAAUGGUAUUAGACUUGGAUUUUGGUACCCUUUUCUUUCAUAUACUGCUAUCAGAAAGAGUUGAGUUUUCUUAAUACUCUCUUUGAUCUUGGAUUUAUUCUGCAGGGUUUGGAAAUUUGAACAUGGGAAAUGAGAUGGGUAACAACAACACAUCAGGUUUGAAAGGUAUGGUGAUUUGAAGUUUUUGAACCAGUUAGAUUAGUGUUUUGAUUUAUUUGAUUACAAGAAUCAUGAACAAUUUACAUUGCCAAUGCAAUCUGAUGUAGACGAAGAGAACACAACAGUGGAAAAUUGCAAGACAUCUUUGGUAGAUAAUACUCAUGAAAAUGGUACAAUUGAAGAACAUCAGUUAGUACCUGAAGUUGAAGGGAAAUAUUUUCAUGAAAAAAUUGCCAAAUUAGCUUCUGAUGAUCCAAAGAGAAUAGGAGAUCCUUGCGUCGAAAACCAGACAUCAAGUAUAGAAGGUUAGCAUAUUUUCCUAGAUUGGGUCAUGUGUAUAUCUAUGUUAUUGAAAUUAGUCAAAUUGCAUAUAUUUGUUGUCACUGAUGACUUUUGAGCUUAAUAUUUGGCAUGUCCAUAGAGCACCAAAAUGCUGAAGUUCAUCCUCUAGGUGAAACUCCAAAAGUUACAAUGGAAUCAGCUGAAGCAGAGGAAAGAGACAUUAAACUGCAACCAGAUACUUCAGUGAAUAAUCCAGGACUAGAGAAGCCGAUAGAGAGAAAUAUGGAGGAAAGUGAGCUACAAGGAACAAUGCAAUACCAGCUUGAGAAGCAUGAUUCUUUCAAGAAAGGUAUGUUUAUGCUAACCUCAUGCUCCAUGUUUCCAUUGUACAAUAUUUUUUUGCUAUAUAUAUAUGUCUCAGUCUUUGAACAAACUCUUGGUACUUUAUUAAGUUCGUUCUGUUCGAGUGUACAAAUAAAAGAAACUAGAGAAGAAGCCACCACAUUUACAUGAUAUUAAUUAACUUCACAGAAGAUGAGGAAGAUGGGACAAUAUCCACUUCAGAUGGUCUAGAACCUAAAGAAAGCAUGCCAGUUGAAGCUUGCAAAGCAUCAUUGCUAGAUAGUACUCGGGAAAUUGACAGAAAUGAAGAGAGUCAAAUAGGAGCUGAAUAUGAAGGAAAUGAUUUCUAUGAAAAAGUUGCAUACUCGGCUACUGAUGAUCGAAAUAUGAUAGAGGAUCUCUGCAUCGACAACCUGACAUCAAGUACAAAAGGUUAGCAUUUCUCUAAAAUGGGAAUUAGUCGAUAUCUGAAUUGAUCAGUCUAUAUUUAUGGAUCAUGGACUACUUCUAUCAUAAGUUUUAAGUUGUCCACAGAUCUUGAAGAGGAUGAGGAAGAUGGGAUAAUAUCCAGAUCAGAUGAUCUAGAACCUAAAGAAAACGUUACAGCUGAAGCUUGCCAAACAUCUUUGCUAGACAGUACUCCGAAAAAUGAUACAAAUGAAGAAAACGAAAUAGUAGCUGAAGUUGAAGAAAAAGGUUUACAUGAAAAAGUUGCAUACUCGGCUACUGAUGAUCGAGAGAUGAUAGAGGACCCUUGCAUUGAAAACCAGACAUCAAGAACAAAAGGUUAACCUUUCUCUAAUAUGGGUUGAUAUCUAAAUUAAUUAGUCUAUAUUUGCGAAUCAUGGACUACUUAUACCUUAAUUUUUGACUUAUCCAUAGAGCAAGAAGAUAGUGAAGUUUCUCCUCUUGGUGAAUUUCCACAAUAUACAAUGGAAUCAACUGAAGUAAGGGAAGAAGACGGUAAAGUUCAACCGGUUAUGUUAUCGAGUGAUUCAGGACAUAAAGAGCCAAUAGAGCAAAAUAACAAGGAAUAUGUGAUACAAGCAGGAACAAUGCGAUACCAGCUUGAUAAGCAGGACUGUUUGAAGAAAGGUAUGCUGUAAAUGUUAUCUUGAUGAUUAUGUCUUAGUACAAGUAAUAGUCUUUGAAUGGUGCUUCAUUACAUCCUUCAAUUUUAUUCCGCUUCAGUAUCAGUAAUGUCAUUGUCUAUUUACAUAAAGAAACCACCAUGAUAUAUUUUUAUGCAAUACUUCUGACAGAUGAUGAGGAAGAUGGUACAAUAUCUGCACCACAGGAUCUAGAAGCUAAAGAGUAUAAGAGUUUUGAGUCAAAUCAACAGGAGUUGGUUUCAAUUCCUGCUGAUCAUGAAUCUGUAGAGUUUGGAAGUGGAUUGUUACUAGGGAGUAAGGACUGUCUAAGAACAAGUUCUACUUCUGAUUUCGAGGCGUAUGGUCAUGUCUUAGACACUGAGACAAUCAAAGGCACGGAACUCAGUGCUGAUUCUAGUUCUGAUCCAGCAUUGCAAGCAAAAGGGGAUGCCCUAUCACUGAAGCAAAAGGCAAGUGAAGAACUACUGAAGUCCUCGGAAAAUCAGUCUGAAACCAAGGAUGUAGAAAAAGUUGAGACUGGAUUCAGCAACAAAACACUAACAUCAUCGUAUGAUCAUGUUGGCUUAGAAUAUAAGUGCAAUGUGGAUCAUCCAACUGAGGUGAAUUUAAUUGAUAACCCAAAGGCAGAACCAGAAGCCCUUCUACUGAGUAGCUCUCAUCUUGAAGUUCCUGAACCUAAGGAUAAAUGCAUAGUCCUUGAAGAAGAAAUUAGACUACCAGGAAAAGUGUUGGAAAAUGGAGACAAAAAGCAUUGCACCAAUCAAAUCCAACCUUGUCUACCGUUAAGGAUGGAAUCAGAACCUGACUGUGACAAAUCAAGUGAAGCUAAAAUGGUUGAGCCUACACAUGAGAAGAGUGAAACGGUAAGUAUGAUCAAUCCUUUACGCAACAAGGUUUGUCAAACCGAGGAGCCAAAGUUUGUUGAGGGUGGUAACCUAGUUCUCAGGCAUCUCAAUGAUCAACAUGAGGCUACUGAGGAUCAGUGCUACCAGGAAUCAGAACGGAAACUUGAGGUGGUUCCGGAACUUGGAAUCAUUUCACCAGAGCUAACCAUUCAACAUCUCAGCCACAAGGAAGAGGAAUCAGUAGCGAACAGAACUGUUCAAGAAAGAGGGGAUAGAACAGAACUUGCCAUUGAAAUGGAAGAAACAGAAAGAACAGAACAGGAUUGUUUGCCUCCAGAAGAAAAUACUGUAAAUGGAAAAGAGACUGUUCCAAGCAUCAAUGACUCGAUCACAGAAUUGAAGAAAGAUAAUUCUGGUGAUUUUCUUGCUACUGAAAAUCCAACAAUUGAUUUUACAAGCUGGAUAGCUGAAGCAUUAGUCUCCAUGAAUAAUUUGGAAGCUGAGAUGCUUGGCCAACAAGUUACACAACAGAAUGAAGCACAUCAAGCCGAAGUAGCAGCAUCAGAAGAAUCUAAAACUUUUGCUGAAGUUGAAACCUCACCUGUAUCUGUAAGUUCCGGUUCUGAAACACAAGAAACUGUGGGGAGGUCCAGCACAGUGAGCACUGAAUCUGAUCCUGAUAACUUGAAUAUUGUUCAUGCUCAGAUACAAAAAUCCCCGAGCUUUAGCCUUGACCUCAAAAGUGAAGCAAGGGCUGAAGAAUCAGAUAGUACUCCAUUGUUGUUUCAGGAUAAGGCUGAGAUAGAAAGCUUACCAAGCCAAGGUGAGAAAGUGAUUACAUUGGAACGAAGCGAGUCAGAGGAGUCAGAGACUCCAUUUCUUGGAUUUCUGAAGAAAGAGGAAGAAAACAAUGUUGUUGAAAAACACAUACGUGAGAACCAUUCUCCUGCUGAAAAUUCAAUGAAGAUUCUGGGUGGCUCACUUUCAAAAAAAGCUACUACAACUUCACCAAAAGGUAAAGAGAAGCGCAGACACCGUCCUUCUCUCUUUUCCAACUGCUUGUGUUGUGCCACUGUGAUCAAUUAAAGGUCUUCUUAAGAUCUUUGAUCUUUGUUUGCUCUUUGUUUGGUUUUGGAGUUUUCUGGGAAAUGUAGUUUUGAUCUAUUUUUGGUUGGUUAUGAUGUUGAGUGAGUAUAAAAGCUUGUGCAAGAUAUGAAAGUCCAUUUUGUGUGUUCUUUCAUAUAUUCUUUUCUUUCAUUCUUUACUUCGUUGUCAACUGGUAUUAUCUUUUGUGUUGUAGUUCCAAGUCUUAAUUGCAUAUUGUUCAGGGAAUUGUGUUUCUUCUUAAAAACUUUGAUCAUUUGUAUUCAUAUGAAAAAUGAGGAUAAUAGUUAAAAUUUCAAAGUUAAAUACGGUACUGUGCUUCUUCUUGUCAACCAAUGCUUUCAAGUUUCUACAUUCCAAACUGGCCGGUUGUUACAGCUAUGAAAUCACAAAGUGUUUUGGUGAGCAAAGACUGGAAUAAAACAUGAUUCUGAAAUAUUAUCCUAGUCAAAAGAUGAUGCUUGACAAGGAAAGGUUGCAAUGUAGUUUCUACAUCCACACGGUUUCAGGAUAGUAUGAAAGGUUGAACUUCCAAGAAAGACAUAAGAAUAGGAAAAUUAAGGAGGUCAUUGGAAAGUAACAGCUUAACAGAAGUUGAAAUUCUAAGAAAGAAUACAUAACAUAUCCAACCAUUAAUCUUUGGUCAAAGUCUGACUUGAACAAAAAGUUGGAGAAACUUCAAAUCAAGUAAUUACCCCCAAUCAGAGUUGGAAGAUAAACUAAAAUAGUUCCCAAGAAAAUAGAAGAAAUAAUGGAAUAUUUAGUGGAUAUGAUGGUAGCUACCAGUUACUUAUUAUUAUUAUUUUUUUCAUUUUCCAGUUACUACAGAAGAAACUUCAGUUACAUUGGGAGCUCUGGUUUUGAAUCAAAAAACACACAAUGAUAUAUUACUUGAAGGAAAAGAAUACAAUGGAAUUGAAUGACUUGAACAGAUCAAAAGGGUACGUACUACUAGUCAAGCCCUGCUACACUUUUGGUACAUCAUUGGCAUCGUUUACAUGUUUUUAUUCCUUGUGGAGCAAAUGAGGAUGGAAUAGAAUGAAUCUGAAUGAGGAUUUUCUUCUGAGUACUAUUGUAUCAUCCAAUGGUCAUCAUCAUCUUCACAAAUUCGUCAUAGUUUACUUGACCAUCGCCGUCCAAAUCGGCCUCUUUGAUCAUCUGCUCGACUUCUUCGUCCGUCAAUUUUUCGCCUAGAUUGAUCAUUACAUGCCUCAGCUGAAGAGAGUAGGCAGCACAAACAAACAUAGAUUUGUAAUGUGUUAGAUUCUGUUUGCACUAAAAGAUCAAUAGGGAAAACAAGAUAAAACACUGUCAACUAAGAAUUGUUGAUGUUCAUUGCAUUGGAGAGGUACAGGGAAUCAAGAUACGGAUGGAUACUCAUGCAUAUAAAAACUUGCAGGGUUAAAAAGGAGAAUGAGAUUAACCCUGAUUAAAUAUUGAGAAUGAUUUCACGACUAUCCAUGUAUGACAAUUUUAAACUAAGCAAAGUAUAUAUUAGUGUUGCUUCAAGCUACAUUUGAUUCCCUUAAUAUUUUUCUGGGUGUUAUCCUUUGAUUCCAUGCUGGCAAAAUCCUAACAAUCAAUGCUAUGAUGCUACACAUUUAUUGUCAGUGCAAUGAAACCAUCACUAAUUCUGAAUUGCUGAUCUUAUCAUCUAUGUUCAGUGCUCACCAGCUCAAGAUAGCUUGUUCCUUCUUCAUAUUAAUUUGAUUCUUGUGGUCCAAAUAAAAAGAAUGUAUAUAUCUUGUUUGCUAGCUACCGGGAUUUUAUACAAUAAUAUGUCAAUCUCUCUCGUUACGUGACUCGGUAAUAUGAAACUUUAUUAAACAAACAUGAUUUGAAGAGUCGGAACAUGAUACAGAAAAAAGUCGGAAAAUCUUUCUGGAUUAGAGUUUCCAUGGAAAACCAUGUUGUUGUGGUGGUGAUCAUGCGAUCUGGUGCAACACUAUGAGCAAGAAUUCAAUUAUUUCAGACAAGAUAAAGAACAUGUUCUCUAAACAAAAUUGACACAAAAAUAGAAACAUAAGCAAGUGUGUGUAAACUAAUGUUUGGAAACAGACUGUUAUGGCAAGUGCAUCCUAAUUAACCAAGGGCAGACAAUAAAAUGAUAUAGAGUGUAAAACCCAUUUUCUAUUCUAUGGAAUUCAUGAAAUAAACUGUUUUUCUACCUCAUUAGCUGAUAUAUAUCCAUUCUGAUCCUUGUCAAAUACCUUGAAGGCCUCUUUGAGCUCCUCCUCUGCAUCAGUUUCCUGUAAUAUAUACAUAAAGAAACAGAUUAAGGACAUUUACAUGAAAUUUUAAUUAAGGUUAAGUCUCUGUUUAUACCUUUAACUACAAUUAAAAAGCCAUGCAUACACAAAUACCUACCUUCAUUUUGUUUGCCAUCAAGUUCAAGAACUCGGCAAACUCUAUGGUCCCAUUUCCAUCAGCAUCAACCUCACUUAUCAUGUCCUGAAGUUCCUCCUCUGUUGGAUUUUGAUCCAGUGACCGAAUAACUGUAGCCAAUUCUUCAAUAGUUAUGCAACCUGCAUAUUCAACAUUCAUAUUCAAUCCCCAUUUCAUGAAAAUGCAUCUAAACAGAAUGAGAAUCAUAUAACAUAAGUGAAACUACUCCUAAAUACCGUUUUUAAAGUUUUUCCUCUGUUUCUGGGUACACUCCUAAAUCUGAGAACAUGAACUAUACAAGAAGAACACAUACAACAGCUAUAGAAUAGUACUAACCAAGAAUUGAGGACAUAGUAGUAUGAAACUCACCGUCUCCAUCCUUAUCAAAUAGACAAAAUGCCUCUUUGAAUUCAACAAUCUGUUCUUCACUUAGUACCUCUGCCAUGGUAAAUGUUUGAAUAAAAAUCCCCUGAAUAAAACCUCAAGAACACUCAAAACCUUACAAAAGUCUCGUGAGAGAGAGAGAGAGAGAGAGAGAGGGAGAGAGAAUGUUGAGUUGAGUAUAGCUCAAUCUUAGCUGGGUUUAUGUAGUAGUCCAAUAGGGUGAUUGAGCAAAGUCUAGCACAUUCUGUUUAUCAUCUAAUAAACAAACAAUAGUUUUGUUUCCCAUCUAGUAAAAUAAGAACCAGUCAAACUUCAAGGCUCGUAUGCAUGACUGGAGUUUGUUGUUACAGUCAUGGCUUUAUUGAAAAGAAAAGAAUCAUAUAUUCAAACACGACCUUUCCCCUUUGUUUUUCUAGUUUCUACAUGGACUUUAGUUAAAAGGUUCAUUAAAUUUUCCUCUUCAGAAACCUUCAUAUAUCUCCAUGCUUUACUGUAAAUGCUCGUGAAUAGUAUAUAAUUGAUCGAGGACACUAAAAAGACAGCUGUGAAGGUUUGAUGUUUAGGAGACAAAGGGCAUUCAAAAAGAGAGUAUAGACCUAAAAAGGGUUCAGGGAGCUGUGUAAAUUGCUUCCCACAUCACAUUUUCAACCCCAAGAAGCACGCUGCGUUGCUUGCACGAGGGGUGAGGGAGAGAGAGAGAGAGAGAGAGAGAGAGAGAUUAAGAGAGCUACAGAUGACCAAAGAGCAAGCAGAGCUGUCCUGUUACUCGUGUAUCUUCUUCUUCUUCGUCUUUAAUUUUAUUCAAAUAAUACUUGGUAUUUUCAACGCGCUUAUAUGGUAGCUGCAGCAUGUUUUGCCCUUUAGAAGAAGAAGAAAAAGGACCAACAGGACUUCGCAAACUGCAAAGGACAAAUCUCCCAAUUUAACAACCAAGGGGUAUAAGAAUUACUCCUGAAAAGACAAACAGUACAAGGAAUAACCAUCUGAAAAGACACGUCAUAUAAGAAUUACUCCCUAUGACUACUAAACACUUAGCUACACUAGGUCUCCAACAAUCAAAAGUACAAGCUCACUAGUUCAGUACCCCACUUCCUUAGAAGCAAAGAUAAAUGGUAACAACCAAGGGGAAAACGAGACAUUGUCCCUGAUCAAAAAUAGAUCGGGUUUUGGGCCACAAAGACCCAAUCCAACCAAACCCACAACAUCAAAAAAGUCCCACAACUUUGGACUUUCAGCUUAAGCUGAGAAACCCUAACAGGCCUAAGCCCACUUAGGCCCAUUUGAUCAUCUUUCUUUCCCACAACCAUGAAAAUUUCACCGCUGACCUGCAUGCCUCCGUCAGCGAUUCUACACCACCUCCAACAUCAGGAACAUAAACCUCAGCCCCUCUUUCCACAUGUCCACCGCCGCUGGUAUCUCCAUUGGAAGGCAGUUGUCGUUUUCACCAUGCAAACCCUAAAUAGGUCUACUAACGCCAACAAACAAGUCAUUUUCACCGGCGUUGGGACCGGAGUCCCGACUCCACCAAAAAAAUCCAGAUUCGACGCCUCCAAACAAGGUUUCAACCCCUGCCAUGUCGAAGCACGUAGAUGACCCAGAAGGAAGACCACCCUCCACUAGAUCUACCCCCCAAAAGAGACGGCACCAGAUUUGGCAAAAGAAAACACGUGUUCGCUAGCCACCCAUACCACCUCGGGUCACCAAUCCCACUAGGAUGAUUCGUUCCUCCAUCAAAAACAUCACCCGGAUCCCAGUUCUCCCAAACCAGAUCAGGUGCCUCCGCAUAGCAUUGGCGGGUCUAAGCGGCCCCUAAGCGGGUGUAGGUGGUCCCUACGUGGGUCUAGGUGGGUCAAGGCGGUCCUGUGGCAGGUCAAAGCGGCCCUCGACGGGUCAAGGCGGCCUAGUAGUGGCCUUAAGCGGGUCUCAAUAGCCUUUUGGUGGGUCUAGAUUGUCCCUAAGCGGGUCUAGGCGGUCCCUACACAGGUCUUAAGUGGGUCCAAGCGGUCCUUACGCGGUUCCUAGGUGGAUCUAGGCGGUCCCUACGCUUGUUCUAAGUAGGUCUAGGCGGGUCUUAACGGCCCUAGGCGGGUCAAGGUGCCCCUUUAGCGGCCCUAAGUGGGUCUCGGCAUCUCCUUGGCAGUCAUAGACUUGUAUCGGCAGACCCUUAGCGAGUCUAGGUAGCCCUAAAUGGGUCUAGGUGGUCCCUACGUGGGUCUAGGAGGGUUAAGGCGGUCCUAUGGCACGUCAAGGCGUGUCAAAACGGUCCCUUAGUGACCCUCGACGGCUCACUAAGCAGGUCUAAAUUGUCCCAACACGAGUUUAGGUGGAUCAAGGCGGUCCCUUGGCAAGUCAAAGCGGCCCCUUGGCGACCCUUUAUGGGUCAAGACCACCCCUUAGCGGCCCUAGACAGGUCUAGACAACCCCUAAGCGGGUCUAGGAGGUUCAAGGUUGUCCCUUGGCAGAUCAAGGUGGGUCAAAGCGGCCCCUUGGCGGCCCUCAACGAUUCAAGGCGGCCUAUUAGCGGCCCAAGGUGGGUCAUGGCAGUCCCUUGGCAAGUCUAAGCGGCCCUAAGCUGGUCUAGGUGAGUUAAAACAGUCCCUUAACAGGUCAAAGCGGCCCCUUAGCGGUCCUCGGCGAGUCAAGACUGCUCCUUAGCGACCCUAAGCAGGUCUAGGUGACCCCUAAGCGAGUCUAAGUGGUCCCUAAGCGGGUCUACGAAGAUCUAGGUGAUCCAUUGGCAGGUCAAGGCGGGCCAAAGUGCCCCUUUGACGGCCUGCGGGGGGUCAAGACAGCCCAUUAGCGGCCUAAGGCGGCCCAUUAGCGGCCCUAGGCGGGUCUAGGCUGUCCGUAAGCGGGUCUAGGCGAUCCCUAAGCGGGUCUAGGUGGUCCCUACGUGGUUUUAGUAGGGUUAAGGCGGUCUCUUAGCAGGUCAAGACGGGUAAAAACGGCAUCUUGGCGGCCCUCGACGGGUCAAGGCGAUUCAUUAGUGGUCAUAGGCUGAUCUCGGCAGCCCCUUAGAGGGUAUAAACAGCCCCUAAGUGGGUCUAGAUGGUCCCUACGCGGGUCUAGGUGGAUUAAGACGAUCCCUUAGCAGUUCAAAGCGACCCCUUGGUAGGCCUUGGCGGGUCAAGACAACCCCUGAGCGGCCCCUAAAAAGGUCUAGUUGGUCCUUACGCGGGUCUACGAAGGUCAAGGCGGUCCAUUGGCAAGUCAAUUGCAAGGUGGGCCAAAGAAGCCCUUUAGCGACCCUAGGCAGGUCUCGGCAUCCCUUUGGCAGGUCUAGGCUAUCCCUAAGUGGGUCUAAGCGGUCCUUACGCUGGUCUUAAGCAGGUAUAGGGGGUCUUAACGGCCUUAGGUGGGUCAAGGCGUCCCCUCGGCAGCCCUAGACAUGUAUCAAUAGCCCCUUGGCGGGUCUAGGUGGUCCCUAAACAGGUCUAGGACGGUUAAGGCGGUCCCUUGGUAAGUCAAGACUGGUCAAAGGGGGUCAAAACAGUCCCUUGGCGGGUUAAGGUGGCUCAUUAACGGCCCAAGGCGGGUCGUGACAGCCCCUUGGCGGGUCUAAGCGGCCCUUGGCAGGUCAAGACUGCCCCUUAGCGACCCUAGGUAGGUCUAGGCAGCCUUGGGUCUAGGUGGUCCCUACGCAGGUCUACUAGGGUCUAGGCGGUCCCUUGGCAGGUCAAAGCGGGUCAAAGCGGCCCCUUGGCGGCCCUCGGCCGGUCAAGACGGCCCAUUAGCGGUCAUAAGCGGAUCUCGGCAGCCAUUUGGCGGGUCUAGGCGGUCACUACGCGGUUCCUAAGCAAGCCUAGGCUGGUCUUAACUGACCUAGGCAAGUAAAGGUGCCCCCUUGGCGGCCCUAAGUGGGUCUCAGCAUCCCCUUGGCACCCUAGACAUGUUUCGGCAGACCCUUGGUGUGUCUAGGUGGCCCCUAAGCGGGUCUAGGUGGUCCCUAAAAGGGUUUCAAGACGGUUAAGGCGGUCCCUUGGCAAGUAAGGCGGGUCUAGGCUGUUCCUAAGCAGGUCUAGACGGUCCCUAUGCGGUUCCUAAGCAAACCGAGGCGGGUCUUAACGGACCUAGGCGAGUCAAGGCGCCCCCUUGGCGGCCCUCAGUGAGUCUCGGCAUCCCUUUAAUGCCCUAGACGUGUAUCGACAGACCUUGGUGGGUCUAGAUAGCCCCUAAGAGCAACUCCAACCAUAGAGUCAAAACCACCAUGGAGGCUCCAACGGCAACAAUUGACAACUUUGAAUCAACUCCAACAGAAUUGUCAAUUCCACCUGGAUGACAACUUUGAUUCAUCUUGUCAAAUUUGACCCAGGCUGAGCUUAAAGUCAUUUAAUUUUUUUAUGAUUUCUUUCUCUUCUCUCCUCUUUCAUUCUCAUCUCUCUGUUUCUUUCCUACACAAAACCCAAAUCAAGACUUGCUGAUCUGCAAUUUUGAUAUAGAAAGAGCAAUAGCAUCAAUACCCAAAUAAUCAAAUGGUUAUUUGAAGAAAGCAGAUCGAGUUCGAGGGAAGAAGAGGAUUGUUGGUAAAAGGAUCAAAAUCGUUGUCAGUGAAUGAGGAGAUAAUUCCAAAUUUAGGUUGAUCAAACAUACCUACACCUAGUAAGAAGAUUCAUUCUUUGGUCUUGAGCUUCUUGACGGCCUUGUCUAUGGAGGAUCGGAGGGACUUGUAGGACAAGAGAUAAGCUAGAAAAAAUGAAAGAAAGAAGGUGAUCGAGAGCAGAAGAAAAGGUGUGAGAGGAGAUUUUUUUGACUAAUGAGAGAGGAGGAGGAGGAUAAGGAUAAGAGGGGUGCGUGUUUUAAUAAAAUGAUUUACAAAUUAUUAUAAAAUUAUAAUUUUUUUGACUAGUUGGUUGGAGUUAAAAUCUUGUAAAAUGUCAAAUACCAUGUCAGCAGUCAAAUUUGAAAUUUGACAAAAAGUUUUAAUUCUCUUGUUAGAGAUGCUCUAAGCGGGUCUAGGUGGUCCCUAAAUGGGUUUCAGGACGGUUAAGGCGGUCCCUUGGUCGGUAAAGGUGGGUCAAAGGCGGCUUCUUAGCUGCCCUCAGCCUGUCAAGGCGGCCCAUUAGCGGCCCUAGGCGGAUCCCUUGGCAGGUCAAGCUAGGUCAAAGGCGGCCUCUUGGCAGGUCAAGGAGGGUCAAGGCGGCUCAUUAACCGCCCUAGGCGGGUCUCGACAGCCCAUUGGCGAGUCUAAACAGCCCCUUAACGGGUCUAGCUAGAUGGUCCAUACGCAGGUCUAGGAGGGUCAAGACAGUCCGUUGGUAGGUAAAGGACGGUCAAAGUGGCCCCUUGGCCGCCCUCGACGGGUCAAGGCGGCCCAAGGCGGGUCUAGGUGUGUCUAGGCGGCCCCUAAGCGGGUCAAGAUUGUUCCUACGUGGGUCUAGGUGGAUCAAGGCGGUCCCUUGGUAGGUCAAAGUGACCUAUUGGCGACCCUUGGGGGUCAAGACUGCCUUUUAGUGGCCGCUCUAGGUGGUCCUUCAAAGGGUCUAGGAGGGUUAAGGCAGUCCCUUAACAGGUCAAGGCGGGUCUCAGUUGCACCUUGGCAGGUCUAAGCGGCCCCUAAGCGAGUUUAGAUGGUCUUUACAUGGGUCUAGGUGGAUCAAAGAGGUGCCUUGGCAGGUCAAGACAGCCCCUUAACGGCCCUAAGUGGGUCUCGUAGGGUCUAAGCAGGUCUAGGCGGGUCUAGACGGCCCUUGGCGGGUCAAGACCACCCCUUAGCGGCCCUAGACAGGUCUAGGCGACCCCUAAGAAGGUCUAGGUGGUCCCUACGCUGGUCUACGAGGGUCAAGGUGGGUCAAAAUGGCCCAUUGGCUGCCCAUGACGGGUCAAGGCGGCCCAUUAGCGACCCUAGACGGGUCUCGCUAGCCCUUUGGCGGGUCUAGGCUGUCCCUACGUAGGUCUAGGCGGUCCCUACACGGGUCCUAAGCAGGUAUAGGCGGGUCUUGACGGACGGGUCAAGACGCCCUUAUACUUCUAGCAAUUGAAAAUUCGGCAGCCUUAGUGUCACGGUCCAUAUUUUCUAGAAAAUUUCCAACGACUCUAGGCACUUUGGACCAGCGAGUCAUCUAGACAUCAAAAUACAUCAUGUUGUCCGGCUCUCAAUGUUUGAAGGUUUUGUAAGAGUAUAAAGAUAUCAAAAUUCAUUGCUAGCUAGGCAACGUAGAUUCUACAUUUAAAGUGUCAUUGUUAUAAAAAGGGUGAGACUCUGUGAACCCAUAGCAAACAUAUGUGUGAAAGCUAGCAUGGUUUUAUUGAAUUAAAAUGAACAAGAAGGAAGUAAAACGCAGGAGAGCAAGAGUCUACAUCUUGUAUUUGAUUGAUUGUGUAAAAAAUACAUCUCAUCAGAUUUAUAUGUAGGGAUCAAUAGAAAAUGACUAAACUAAUCUUACUCUGUUUUCCAAUUUUUCCCUUGUUGGAUAAAAGUUUGGUCAAUAGUAGAAGAAAUAAAACAGAAACUGCCCUAGCCUUUUUUUUCUAGCUAGUGAAUAACUAAACUCUUUGCUACGUACCCACCUUCACGAAGCAUGAAGAGCUACAACUCAAUUUUAACUCGAAAUUGUUGGCAUAAUAUAUAACCAGUCAUGCUGAUUGUAAAUUGCAAUUCCAGUUGCGUUCCAAACGGUCUUCGGCCAUUUGGUGUUAGCAAACACCCAGAAUGGGAUGGAGAUAGUGAUAGUGAAUUAAUCCAUAGUUCAAAGCUCCAGGUGCUUGUGAGAUUCUAAUGUGACGAUAGAAUCAUGUUACAUAUUAACUAUAGUUGUUUGGCUGCUUUGUACUAUAAAUUUCUAUAUGCUUAACUUGUUCCAUAUAAAUUUUACAUGUUCCAUUUACAAUUGUAUAAACUUGUUCGAUAUGUUUGCGGUUAUUUCAUACAAGAAUCUUGACAGUUGAUUUAGAUAUAUCAGUUUUAGGUCCAUACAUCUCUGGCACCCAAAGAAACUUAAUUCGUCCUACUGAUGCAACUUAUCAUAUCAAGUGCAAUUCUAUAGGAAUCCUGACGAAGGCAAUGGAUAGCCUCCGACUCGGCAAGAAAAAGAAAACUGAAAUAUUAUACCAGGAAAACGACAUUACGGAGCAAUUUAGUCACUUGACAACAGAGUUCUAACAAAGUUAUGUUGUAGAGUUCCAUAUCCCCACCACAGUGCCUAGACUUUCACUGAUUAAACUGCAGAAAAUUGAUGAGAAUGCAAGCAAUCCUUUCCCAUUUCUAACUUUCAUUUCAGAUAGGUUUUCCCUUUGGAACGAUUUGAUCUUUGAUCCACAUGUAAAUGGGAACGAGCACAUAGUAAGCUCCUGCAGUUGCUCCAAGAAUGAGCCGGAAAAGAAACACAAAUCGAUUGACAGGCUUCCUCACAUCCUCAACCUUUGGACCAAGCUGCACCAAAACAGAUAUCAAUUGAAUAUGACAAGUGAAUGCAUCAAAGGGCAGGAAAUAUAAGCCUCCUAAGUGACCUAGUGUUUAAUCCUUGAGAUACAAUGUGUAAACACUCAUAGUGUAAAAGGGCGUCUUCUGAUUCAAAUGUACUUAACUACUAACUUCGCAUUAAACAGGUAUUCCAACCUACUCUGGCACAAAAUACUUGUAUAAAACCUCCAUUCUUACGCGGUAUUUACUGAAUAUUGCUUUAGAACUGGACAUUGCCUUAGACCUGCAUUUUACAUGCUUAAACACUAAUAUACUAAUAUGAAUUAAUCCGAAUAUAAAAUAAGAGCCGUAAAUAUUACUUACUUUUGCAUAAGCUUGUAGUUUGAAUUCAAAUUCUUGUUACAGUUGAAACCUUCAUGGAUAGAAGUGUUAUAGUUAUACUGCCUAUAUAUAUGUCGAACUAGUCCUUUCUUACACACAAAAGAUUCUCAUUCUUAGUAUACUAGGAGAAUAUAAGGGUGCAAUAAGAAGGCUAUCAUGGACAACGCAUUUGUUCUCUGUGUUCAAUUUCAAAGACAUGUUCAUGUAUUCUGCAUAAUUAAGACUGAUACACUGUUCAAUCCUAUAUGUAAUAAACUUAAAAUACAACAAAAUUUCAUCACAAGAUUUGAUCUGGCAUAGCCUACAGUAAUGUUCCUAAAUUGGUUUCAAUUUAACAGGAGGAGCUUUCUAUUUUCUAUUCUUGUUUUUACAAUGAACCACAUCGACCACCCCAGUGUCACCAACACCAUCACAAGUUCUCUUUGCCACUACUGCAACCCUUACCACAAUCACUAAAAUGACCGCUACAAUGGUCAUCACAAGUCCCAAUGACAAACACUGCCACCCACUGCUCGCACCAGAAUCAACUGCCAUAAUCUCCACCAUUACCCAACACUCCCUACCAUCAAGUUCGACUUCUGUCAAAGUUUCUAAGAAUGAAAUGUGACAACCACUACCUUCGCAGGUUAUUAUAGAACUAAAAUUAUCCAAAAUUUUCUCAAAGGGAGAGUUUUUUUUUUUUUUGGUCUGAUUAUCGAAGGGAGAGUAUUUCCAGCUAAACUAUAGAGUAAUAAAUCACAGAACUGGUCAACUAAGUCAUGCUAGCUUCUUCUUUCAAGGCAUAAUGACAAGCAAUAAAUGGAUUGUUACCACCUCAAAAAAACAUUUUAGGAGAAUAAUAACAAGCAAGCCUCUAAUAGGAAUAAGUUAUUGCAAGAUGCUCCUCUGGAUGUGACCUGCUCAUCAAACACUAUACCAAUGAUACAGAUGCCAUAAAAGAGCUUUCUUUUCUAAUCUGAGAAAAGAGAUUACUUUAAGUUUUUACCUCUUUAAGGGAUAAAGAAUAAUGUACCUGAAGAGGGGAAUCCCCAGUUAAGGGCUUCACACCUGUCACAGAGCAACCCAUAAUCAGGCCAUGCCGGCGAACUCCACGGUACCACUUUGGACCAAUUCUUUUUAGUUUAACAUCUUUGAAACCUGCCUUUUUGAACCAAUCAAUGUAUUCUUCCUCUGUUGGGAAGAGCAUCCACGUGUCUGCGAAAAAACGAGACAGCCAGAAGGUCGGGUACACAGGGCCUAUAAGACAGGCUUUUCCUCCUAUUUUAAGUACCCUGUAUGCUUCCUUGAUUCCACACUGGGGAUCCGGCCAAUACUCUAUACUGAGGAACAAAAUCAUAAGAAUGCAUAAGAUAUAGAGUUACCAACAUACUUGUAUAAACCUAAAACGUAUAGUAUUACAGUUUGCUUUGUUUCGGAAAAGCCCUAAGAAACCCAACCAUCCGAAAGCAUAAUACACUCCCCAUUCUUUUAAAGUUAAAAUAUUUGCCAGGACAACUAAUUUAGAUUUCUUUCAUUCACCUCAAUGAUAAAUCUGAAAUAAGGAAAACAGCAGCAUAACAGGAAUGAAAGUUUCAAAGUAAGAUCAGAUUCCGAUUUCAUAUCACAAAUCUCAAUCCUCACUUGCACUCCCUUCAAAUGGAAUUACAUUACAUCAAAGUAAUAGCAGCAUAGAUAUUACCUUCCAGCAGAGACAUAUCUAUCUGCAUAAUCAGUUGGGAACGGCAGAUCCUCGGCAUCACCUUCAAUUAUCUUGCAAUCUUUCAAGGGCUCCUUCUCCUUAGCCUUGGCAAGCUGGUGUGGUGAUUGGUCAAGAAUUGUAACAUUUUUGGCAUCCACAUGCUUCACAAUCCCCAGUGUUGUGAACCCAGUUCCACCUCCAACAUCCACCACUGUCAUGUUCCUGUCAUAAAGAUCAGCCGGCUCAAGGGCGUCGUCUCUCAUAUCCUCAGUCCAAUGCCCAGGGUUUAUCACAUGAUCAUAGACUAUAGAUAAGAACCUAUAGAACCAGAAUGCUUCUUGCUUGUGCUGUAUGAACCUAGGCUGAGAAGCAGGCCUUGAGGACGAGACACUGCAUAUGGGUCCAAUAGUUCUAGCCUUGGAAUUCCUACCAUAACUAACAGAACCCGUUUUGGGGAAAGAUCCAUAUUGAAAAUUCCCACCAGAACCUAACCCAGUUGGUGCUAUGCCAGAAGCAAGUUUCAGAUUCUGAGCUCCAUAGAGCAUUGAAAUAGCCAUGGUAUGGUAAUAGGAAACAAAACCCACAAAAUUAAACCCACAAAAGAAAUACUCUUUCUUUCCCACUGAUUACUGGAAACUAAAAUCAAAGAAAUGCUUCAGAUAACAUGGAGAUUCAGAAUCAGACUGAAGUGAGCAUACAAGCAACAACCAUGGGGAUUCAGAUUACCCCAUCAUAUAAAUAUCAAAGAAGUACAGGAUUACCAAACAGAAGUGGCUUACCAACGGUUGUUCUACACAGGGAGAUAGGAAGAGAGAGAGAGAGUAUUGAUAGCCACCUGUUCGAUAAAAAUGUGCACGAAGCGUAAGUGUCACCCAACAUGAUUUCACUCGCAUUUAUUAAUAGAAUAGAGUUUUAAUUACGUUUAGUUCGACCAUUUAAAACAGAAUGAGUCUCUUAAUUACAAUCCCUUCUUACAAGGGAACACCAUUUGAUUCAAUUUAUCAAGAAACCAUUGUAGGUUUGUUUAUUUUUACGGCUGCACCCGAAUUUCGGAAUGAGUUGCCUAUGUACCCAGGAGGGGAUCAAGCCACUCGUAGAGUUCCAAUGAGUGAAUGACUCAUUGGAGGGCUUUGAUUUAGGAAUAAGAGUAGUGUUUGAGAUGCGGUUGUAUCUAGAUUAUUUGAUUCUAGAUUGCCUACAUACCCUUGCGGGAUCAAACCACAUGUAGUUCCAGCAUUUGAGACUUAAAUGGGUAGGUGACCCACUUAUUUUGAAUUUGUGUUUGGGAUAUUUGUGAGGGUUUAAAGCCCUUGAAUUUGGUUUGGGUAUUUGAUAUUUAUAGUGUUUGGGUGAAUUUGACUAGUGGAGCCAAAGAUUCAGAUUUUGUGAAUUUGACUGGCGAAGUCGAGAAUUUGAUUUGAGAUUUGUGACUGGUGGAGUUAAGGAUUUGAUUUGAGAUUGGUGGUUGUAUCUAGUGGGUCGCUAGAUUGCCUACAUACCUUUUUGUAGGGAUCAAACCAUUACAGUUCAAAAAUUUGGGUAUGCGGUUUUGUACCGACUUUUGAGUCGACAAAUAUACAUAUUUUUGAAUCCGUCAAUUGUAUUUCUUGUGGACACCCAAUUUGGUAGAGUGCCUAUUGAUUUAACAUGGGCACCCGUCGUGCUGGAGGUUUGCAGUUGGGCCUUGCGACUUCACACUAACUUGUAUCAACAAUGGGUAUUUGUAAAGUGGGCUUGUUUCCGUGUCAUUUGUAGGAGGCCCAUCAAGGACUUGUAACCUUGAUGACAUCAUGUGAAGUGUGAACUACAAACUCUUCUGAAAGCUAACUUCAUUCAACAAUGGAACAUCAGAGGCGUCUUCCCGGUUUGACAAGCUCGACAAUAUCUCUGUGAUUAUCAUGUCGACGGUAGAGACCGGGUUGCAGUAUAUUGGGAGACAAAUUCGAAAGGUCUGCUCCUGUAUAAAUGGAGAGGCGCCGUCUCCGUUUCUGCACUCCACCUUGAUCGAGAGCGCACAUUGGGUAAUAGCUCCUUCACUUUGACUACCUUUUAUGCUUCUGAAUUUUGCGUUGGCAUAGGCGCAUAGCUUUGUGGUCACCAAUUGACACUUGAUUAAGACUUUUGUCUUUUGUGGAGGAAGAGCAUACUGGACGUUUUAAUUUCAAGGUCUAAUUUGCUAUCCCAAUACCUCAACUAUCAAUCAUCAAUUUGUCAUUUGAUUAACCACAUAUAUAUUCAUACAACUCCACCGUUUGCUUCAUUUGUCCUUUUGCCGAAGUGCUUUACAGACGUGAAUAGCCAUUAAGUUGGUGGCAGUCUUGCUUUGCUUCGAGGCUUUAAACAUAACUUCACAUUUUAACAAUUGCAGGUCUUGAAUACAACAAGUCUUGGACUUUCCUCCACCGCAAACUCUAAGAUACCGUUUGAAGAGGUAGAUUUGCAGUAGGCUUGUAGACACUUCCUUGUAGACCUUGUAUUUGAGACUUCGGGUGCGGCUUCUAUUGUAAGACCUCCUGACGAUCAUAUCUUCAUACUUCUGAAGCCUUUGUUAUUCUGUGCAGUUCUUGAAUACUCCUCCGAUACCAAACCGACGUGGUCCUUUGAGAGGUUAUCUUGAUAUCAAAACAUGGCGGCACCGAAUGUAUUUGCAGAUGCCUUGUCUUCUUUUCUUUAUUGCGGCUUGUUGCCUUGUUGACUGCCACCACACAAGAAGCAGGAAUUUUGAUGCAUCUUCCGUGGAUUGUUUUGGCUUGCUGCAGUUGUCAUGGCACUGGUUGUAGACUAGAAGCUGGAGCUUUGACGCAUCUUUUGGGACUGCUGUGGCCUGUUCCUUUCUUCUUCAGUUGCAGCAAAUUGUAUGCACGCUGGCAUUUGCUGUGAGUACAUCAGCGACAUCUUCGUUGGAGUACCAGACCUCAUCUUCGCUGCUAUUGUUGAGGACGACUGGAGCCACUUCUUUGGUGCAUGACUAUGAUGUCCUUGCUGCAGUGAAGAGCCAUUGGCGAGGUUUUCAUGGAACUUUAUCAGAGGAGUUUUGUCGCAGUUUUACUCUUGUUGAAUCCGGAGCAUUGGCAUUUGUUGUGAACACGAGGGCAACUUCAUUGAGAUAUCAGACUUCGUCUGCACUGCUUUUAUUUGUUGUAGACGACUUGAGGAGUCACUUCUUUGAUGCAUGACUGUGACGUCUUUAAUGCAGUGAAGAGCCUUUUGAGGCACCUGGUUGAAGAUUGCAUGUAAAGCUUCUCCAGGCGAGCUUUGUUGUUGCAGCAUUUACUCUCGUUGAUACCAAAGGUACCGUAAACGAGGCUUCUGGCAUUUGAGCAUGUUGGUGUGGGAUUUGAUGAGAGGACAAACUCAGAAGUGAAGCGAAAUGAGGCUGGCUGGAGUAGUUCUUUACCUUUCUUCUUGGGCUUCUUCUUCUUCUUCUUUGUUGUUGUCGAUCCCUUCCCUUUGCUUCUGCCUGCUUAUGCUCUCCGUUCGUCUUCUAUGUUGCUUCUGCUUUCUUCUAUGCCCUCUUCUUCUUUAGCUCUUCUUCGUUUGACUCUGCCCGCUUCUGUCUUCUUUUGUCGCUGCUUGCUUCUGCCUCCGUCUUCUGUCCCUCCUCCUAUUGGCCUCCUCUCCUCCUUUUUUUUGACUGCGGGAGUUCUCUUUUAUAUAGCAGCACCACGAGUAGUAGAGUUGGAGUUGAUCCGGUUAAGCUGUAAUUGAUUUGGACUCAUCUUUUAAUUUCUUAACGAGACCUAGUUCAACUUGCCUUCACCUUCUUUUAAUUGCAUUGCUUUGUUUUAAUAUUUGUACAAAGCUGGAAGGCUAGAAGUCAACCAACAGUAAUGGGACUCUAGAAGCAACGUCCUACUUUUGAGAUACAUAUAUAUAUAUAUAUUUUUUUUCCUUUUCUUUUUCUGUUUUUCACUAGACCAUUAUUUUUUUUUUGUCUCAACACCACCACAGGCUGUGGCAGGAGUUGUAGUAAUACUUGGGUCAGUGAGGUAGUAGCUGUCAGACACGUUAAACGUACGGUUUUGACAUCCAUGUAAGACAAGGCUGGUACUUUUAUUAUUUCUGUCUUCUUCUGAGUUAUUUACUCUUGGCGUAUCAAACUAAGGAGCUUCGGAGUUAUAUGCUCGGAGUUGGAUUUGUCUUGCAAGAAAAUGUCAAGCUUACAAUCUCUACUUCCGGUCAUGGUUAUUUACUACAUCUAUUGAAAGUAGAGGUCUUUUGUCCUUUGGUUAUUGAGUAUUACUUUUCAUUAUACAUCUUUACUUUACUUUACUUUACUUUACUUUCUACUGUAUAGUUUUUUCAGUCAGUUCCAUCUCUCUCUUAUAUAAAAAGAGAGAUCUGUAAUCUUUCUGUUUUUUUAUCAAGAAAUAUAUCAGAAAACUUCCACAAGAUUUUGUGUCCAGUUUUCUUCAUGGUAUCAGAGCAGGAAUCCAAGGCCUGUCUUUAUAUCUCUUCUUGAUUAUAUCUGAUUUCUUCUUUCCUCUGUGGAAGAGAAAUUUGUUCAGAGUUCUUUUCCUCUGAUUUCUUUUUUUGAUUUCUUCAUCCUGUUAUGGAAGAGAGAUCUGUAGAGAGGUUUUUUGUACCCUCAUCUGUCUCCGAUGUUGGAAUGAAUCCAAAUCGGUGUUUUAGAUCUAUGGAGGUGAAGAAACCAGAAGGUAAGCCUUCUAUGAAACGCCUGGGUAAUCUUACAAGCAUAUGGAAUGAGUUUGUUGCCUAUCUCAGCAAGAAGCAGAUGCAGACCAGAUGCGAAGAAGAGAAUAUGUCUGGGAGAGAAAGCUACUCUGCCAUCCUAAAGCAAUUUUCUGGGUUUCUUGCAGAAACUGAUUUUGGUUCACUAUGAAGAAGCUUCAGGUACUCUAUCAACUUUGUCAAUGCUCUCACUNNNNNNNNNNNNNNNNNNNNGAUUGUCAUUAUAUCCGAGCUCAAGUUCAGUCCAAGGUUAUUGAUACACACUACAUUCGCAGCCAAGACCAAUUGACUGACAUCUUUACCCAAAAUCUCUUUCCGCUGCUCAAUUCCAUCGACUCUUGGGCAAGCUUGGCUCAAUGAAUCCCCUUGAUCCAGCUUGAGGGGGAGUAUUGGAAGUAGAGGUCUUUUGUCCUUUGGUUAUUGAGUAUUACUUUUCACUGUACAUCUUUACUUUACUUUACUUUCUACUGUAUAGUUUUUUCAGUCAGUUCCAUCUCUCUCUUAUAUAAAAAGAGAGAUCUGUAAUCUUUCUGUUUUUUAUCAAGAAAUAUAUCAGAAAACUUCCACAAGAUUUUGUGUCCAGUUUUCUUCAACAUCUGGAAAACUACAUAUUACACUCUUAUUUCAUGGUCAAUAAUGAAGAGGAGAAAUUUUGUUCAGAGAUCCAAGGCACACAAGAACCAAAAAACCGGCAAAUACUAAAGCCUAGAAAGAAAUACUAUACUAUAUACUGCACUCUCAUUAUUCAGAAACGGGGAUCAAACUAUGACCAUGUAUAUAGAUUGCCUUUUGCAGCUUCCUCGGAUAAUGAUUUAUGACAUCUCUGAGGCCACCUCUGAUUGUCUCUUCAGGAGAAGUUCUGAAGGCAACUCCGCUGGACUAUCUGGUGACAUGUCCAAUGGAACUUCGGAAGGCGUCUCUGAUGCAGUCUCUGAAGGUAUCUCUGAUGAAGUCUCAGUAGGUAUCUCUGUUGAAGCCACGGGAGACAUCUCGGAUAAAGUAUCUGAAGGCAUCUCUGAUGAAGUCUCUGAAGGCGUCUCUGACGAAGUUUCUGAAAGCAUGUCUGAUGAAGUCUCUGAAGACAUAAGCUCUGAUGGAGUUCGAACUUCCCUGAGUUGAACUGAGUUCUCAAAGCAGUGAUAGAAACCAAAGUGAGGGAAUCUCUCAUACCAGGUGUCUUCCGGCUGAUGUGUAUCCCAAUGAUCACCACUGCUGCUCUUCCCAUACUUGUGAACCCACCCUGAACCAUUGUGACCUUCGCCCCAUGUUUUGUUCCACCGCUCCCCAUACUUGCCUUCCCACCAUGUUUCACCCUGCUUCACACCAUGGCCAUUUGGAUCAAAAUGUUCAUCCCAUUUAUCACCCCAUUUCGACCAACCAUCUCCCUCGCAGCGUUCUGCCCAUUUGUCAGUGUAUUUAUCACUCCCACCAUGUCCAUCAUACUUUUCACCCCACCUGCAACAGAAGGAAAUAAACUGAAAACUUUGAAAAUAGAACUAUGUUCAACCAGCGGGAGAGUAGAUUCAUCGAGACAUAUACACAAGUAUUAGUAUGUGCAAAGCAACUGCCAUGUGGAAGAUUUUCGGACUCCUUGUAAGAUAGUUUAAGUUAAUAUUUGGUACCUUUCAUGCCAAAUAUGAGCAUGACCGGCAUCAACCGGAGUGUUUGGAUCAAUUGUACACCACUUAUGAGCCCACUUCUCUGCUUGGCCUGAUGCAUCAUAAUGCUCCCACCAUUUCUCUUGCCAUUCAUCGCCUCUACUAUUCUUUCCCCAUUUGUCUGCAGAUUUCUCCAUAUGCACAAGUCCACAGUUCUGCAACCGAAUCAAAAUUCGCAGUUCAGUUUGUCUUACAAUAUAUGAAACAUUUAUAUUCAUAGAUUAAAAUAAACUAUAUGAAGUUGAUACCAUGAGACAUGAAUUUGGAUAAAAAAUUUGCAUUGCAUAUCGGUGCAAAAUAAUUAAUGCCUAUAGAAGUGCAGGCAAAUAGAGGGCCAACGUUCAACCAGAUUGAAGAAAAUGCACAUACAUGGAGGAGUUGUGCUACCAAUAGGUGCAGGGAUGCAUAGACAUCAUCCGAGAAUCAGGUAAGGGUGAGGCAUUUGAAUACAAAACACAUUUCUAAUAGGGAACACAGCGUACUAUUCUUUCUCCUUUACUAAAGAAUAUAAAACACAUUUUACUACAUAAACUCUAGCAAAGUUGCUGACUUGCUGUCUAAAUCCAAAUGGAGAGAAUGGUUCACAAAUGUCAAAUUAAUAUUCUUUUCAAUAUUCUUUUCAAUAAUAGUUCUGACACACAGAUGUUAAGAAGUCUAGGGCUACAAAUAAGCUAAAAAAUGGCUAUACUGAAUAUCAAUAUGUCAAUCCGGUUGGUGAAAUAUAGGAUCACAUUUUGGGGUAUUUAACUUUUACAGAACAUGGGUUGCAACUGCAAAAGGAUAAAAAAAACAGCUUUAUAAGAUGAAUCUGACCUAUAGUUCUUUCACACUCCCUCUAUAAAAGACCAGAGGUUUAGCAAAGAUUUUGAGAAGGAAUCUAGGAAUACAAUCACUAUAAUCCAAUUAUUUUUCCUGACCCAAAGAUUAAGGCUAAUGAAAAGAAUCCUUAUAUGUCAAGAAAAUGUAAAAAUCAUGAAGCAUUAGUGGCAACUUUGAAGCAUUCCUUGAUGAGAUUAAAUGAAAGAAAAAGUAUAGUGAAGCCCAAUAACCUGCCACAUAGCUUCUUUCCAAUGUUCACGCCAGACAUUUCCAUGUGCAUCACGUCCCAAUUUUUCUGAACCAAGCUCCUUGUGGCCUAACUCAUCUGCAGCUUCCCAGUACUUCUCUUGCCACUCAGUAACUUGGUCGGCACUGACACCUCUGAUCAUUGUCCACCUGCAUGUCACACCAUCCGGCCUUUGCUCAACUCCAGAUUCCUUCCACCACCGAGCUCCAUCUGUAUAUACACCAGAUAAUGACUCCUCAUCCAUCUUAUCAAGAGCACGAGCAGCUUCUGCAGCAUGUAUGGAAAACUCAUGUCCAAGUUCAUGUUCAUCUUUUGUGGAAGUAGACUCAGCGACAUCCACUUUCUCAACCUCCUUCAGUGACUGCAGAGGGGGAAGAAGAGGGUUCGACAGAAUACUCUGAAGAGGAAUUGAGAGAACAUCCAAGGAUCGCUCUUUCUCCUUCAACGGAAGACUCAAGUUUGGAUUUGCCGAAGGCUUUUUCGCUGCCUGCAAGUCAUCUGAACUAUCAAUACUCGGCGGUGUCCACGACCAAAAAUCUGGACCUGGAGUCACAGCUCCUGAACUACCUUCUGACAGAGGCACAAUUACACUCCCAUCCUGCAUUCCUAUCAACACUAAAAGAGUUCAAUGUGCAAUUCGAAGAAAAUGCUCAAAUCACUAACAAAUAACAGGGAGAAGAAAGGGAGCAAUAUGCAACUGAAUGAAUCACUCUACAAAAGUUCACAGAGACAGUAAACCAACAAUCUGCAAGUACCAAAGAAGGACAUGACUUAUUUUGAAUAUAUCUCUUAGAAUGGAAAAUUUCCAGUCAAAGAAAGUCAACAGUACACAAGCUGAGCAUAAAUUCAAUAAAUCAAAAACUUCACAUGUUGUUACUAAAACAGGAAACCACAAUCUCAUUACUCUCUUUUCUUCAAUAGCAGCUUUCACAAUCUGAUAGAUGCAAUCUCAAGAAAUGAAAUAAAGCCAAAAUUUAACACUAAAAAUUUCCAUAAUCAUCAUUAGCAUCCAGAAAUUUAAACUAUCAAACUCCAAAUAUAAUUUCUAGAGCAACACAAAGUUCAAACCUUUACCUUCUUCUACAGGAGCCUCGCCGUCCGGCUCAGUCCUCAAACCACCUAACUCCGGUUCACUUUCACUCCUCACUCCACCUGAACCGGACUCCUCCUUCUUUAAGCCGCUCUCUUUCAAAAGCGCGCGAGCCGCCGCGAUCGCCGCCGCGGCCCGAUCAACGAUCUGCAUUCGCUGAAUCCGAUCCCUCUCGUCCUUCGAAACCUCCAGAAUCUUCUCGAACUCCUGGCUCUUCUUCUCCAAAUUCUCCACAAUCCCCUCGCCGUCCGCCGGAGCUGAAUUCUCCACUAUUUUCUGGAACUCCACCGCCUUCUUCUCGCUCUCCACCGCCUUCUUCCACAUUCCGAGGUACGAGUCUCCGCCUCCGCCGCCAUCCGAAGACGACGCCCUCAACCUCAAGCUGACUCCUCUGUUCCCGAUUCUCCCAAACGGGCGCCGUCCGCGGCUGCUCCGUAAGGAUCGGGCAUCGGCACCUGUGGCGGUGUAAGUAGAAAUGGGAGGCGCGUGGAGUACAGGCGCCGAGAUGAGACGACGCCAUUUGGUUGGGGAGGAGAGAGAGAGAGAGAGGGUUUUUUGAUGAUCAGUGGAGGAGUGAAGAGUGGAGGAGAGGAAGUAACUGUAAGCUCAGAUAUUCUUUACAUUAUUUUUUAAAAGGAGGGAAAAAAUCAUGUGUUUCGUACUUUCGUUCCGUGGAAUUGAAGGAACGCUUGUGAUGCGGAUUCUGUUUGGGCCAGAUAAUACUUUGUUUGUAUUAUUAUUAUUAUGGGGACACGUGGAGGGAAUUGGAGGGAGGAACGCGACUUGACCGGAAAGGGAUUCCGUGUGACCCGAUUAACGUGUCCCGAGACUUGCCGACUUGGAUUGUAAAGCAGCACAAUGAGGUUAAGUCUCUAAGAUUUGAGAUUAGCUCUCUUGAUAUAUGGCUUUAGGCAAUGGAGCUUUAGGAGCAGCAAUGAGGUUAAGUCUCUUAAGUCACCAACCACACAUGGUAUGACCCAGGCUAACUAAGAGUCUAAGACAGUGGUUCAUCACGUAUUUGAGGAAAGAAAUUAGUCGAUUGAUAUAAUUACCCUAUUCGAUGGGAGAUAGCUUCCCAAAUUAACUUUUACUUCGAGAAAUGGAACUAUGUGAGAAUGGAAAAUUGAGUACCAAUGUGGAUUACCAUCCUGCAGAAGCUACCUACUAAAGAAAAGCCCCAUCUACUAUUUAACCACUUGAAUACAGGGGCAUACUCACAUGUACUACAUUAGUGUCACUGUUGUAUCUUCCUCUAAAGGACCGCAUCUGUUUGUUGGACACACUGAAGAAUAAUAGAUAUCACAUCAAAUCACUGACAAAUAAAAUAUAAUUUAUAAAUUGGUGGAUCAUUCCUAAUUGUAUUGAAAUUUUUUGUAAUUAAAACUCAACACCUUAAAAGUGGUUAAGUUGGGACAAUAUCAGUGCAAGAUUGAUCCACGGGCAACACUUGUCGCUGUUUAACAUGAUAUCAGAGCGGGUCCCUCUCUAAUUACUUCUUCAAUUCUCAUGGGCCCGAUUUCGGUUCCUGCUCUCGCCCGGUCCGGGCUUCUUAUCUCGCCAUCGGAAAGUUCUGAUUAGAUUGUCACCAAGUGUCCCUUGGUUUGUUCCGUCCCAAUUUAUUCCACGUGCAGAACUUAAGUCAGGUUGCAAGUGAAGGGGCGUGUUGGACGUAUUGGAGAGUAAUAGAUCUCAUAUCAGAAAAGUGACAAAUAAAAUAUAAUUUAUAAAUGGGCGGAUUAUUUCUAAUUGCACCGAUGUCUUUUGUGAUUAAAACUCAACACCUUAAAGGUGGUUAAGUUGGGACAUUGAUGCAAGAUUGAUCCACAGGCCAUGCUUGUUGCUGUUUAACAAGCCUACCAAACCGUUAUCUUCCUCUAUAUUAAACUAGUCCAAUCUAUAUCUUUCUAAUUAAAAUAACUAAGCUAGCUAUUGAUUGAUCAUAAUUUGAUGUAGGACGAGAAUAUGUCAAAUUUAGACAGAAAAAAAAAAACAAAAGUCAGGAAGCGGCGAAAAAUCAAAAAGAAUAAUUUAAAAAUCGGUAAUUCUCGUGUCAAGAGGUUGCUAGCUGUUGGAAUAUUCAAGAUGUUGUUUUGGACUUUCUGGGUUGCUCGUGCAAAAUCUGAUUUUCAGAAGCAAAUCUGAUUUGGAGUAACUUUUGACUAAAAUGUUCGUUUGGAACGCAUAAUAUAUUUCCGGAAUGGGAAUAACGAGAUCUACAACUCACUUUAGUGAGAUCUGUCAGAUUUAGGCAAAAUAUAUCGUUUUGUUAAUCCGAAUCGGCAUUCAAUAUUAUUUUAGGUUUUCUAGUUUAUUUUAGAUUUUGUUUUCUUUUAACCUAAUUGGCUUUUAAGCUUGGUUGUUAGUUGCCUUAGGGUUUAUUUUCCUAUAUAAGGAAUUUUAAUCGAUUGUAGUCGUCAGUUUUUGAUAUUAACAAAACCCUUGAGUUUAUCACAAUUUUGGUGGAUUCCAUAUUUUUUUGUGGAUUCGAGAAAACUAGACUUGUGGAUUCAAGUCGCCGUUAGUGGAUUCCAACGUUUAUAUUUCCGCUGCAUCAUAAUUUAAAUAGUCUAACCAACCACACAAACACUUGUACAUAUAUAUGUAUAAUCGAUAUGAUAUGAUAUGAUUGCUUUGCUUAGCUUAGCUUACCCAUAUCCUCAAGGCAAAUUAAGCAGUAUAUUAUAUGAUCUUGAUUAGUACUAGUGCAUUGUUAUAUUGUUAAAUUGUGCAACUCGAUCUUCAUAUUUUUCUUUUUCUUUUAUGAAAUUUUCCUGUUACAAAUUAAAAUUUAGAAAAUUCAUGUGUUUAAUAUGCAAUUUUCUUAUAAUAACUGAUCACAUAAUUAACAAGUGAAAUGAACAUAAGUUAAUUAACAUUUGUAUGAAAUAAACACUAAUUUUUUUAAUCGGUAUACAUUCCAUGUAAUGAGAUCUUGCUUGAUAACCUAACCUUGACCUUGAUAACAAGAAGCAACUACUGUAAGGAUUCCAACCCUCCAUCAUACAUAGAAGUCAUUACUGCAAACCGUAAGGAGUACUGAAUGAUGCAAAGUUGCAAACACUCAAGGAUAACAGCUUCUUUGCUUGACAUUGUCAACAGAUCGGAUGGCAUAUAUCACCUCUUGUGUAUCGUCUGCGAUGAGAAGGUGCAUCAUCUCAGUAUUUAAGGUUAUAAGAAAGCGAUACAUCUGUUUGCAUUUAUCAAUUACAACAAAGUUGGUGCCUCAAAUUAUAAAUUUUCUAUUAGCCUUUGUUUAAAUGAUAGAUGAUGAUAAUUGAUGAAGAGACAUAAAGUUGCUUGAUAAGGAAAGCUAUAGAUGAAAUGAUAGCUUUGUCUUUGUCCACCCAACACCAGAACCCAUCUAUUUGGACUAUUACGGAUUAUAUUCUUCUCGUGGGACUUCUUUCUUAUUUUUCCAGUUUUCUUGAGGCAAAAGCUGUACUGAGCAAAUUGCUCUGAUACUGUUUCCUUUUUUUAUUUGGUGUAUUACUCUUGAUGAUGAGGUUUGGCUUACUAUUUUACAAUAAUUGAAUAAUUAAUUAACUGCUUCAUUAUGAUGUUUACCAUUAUGGUUUUUGAAGGGGUCCAGAAAUGAUAAAGUUGAAUGUUCAUGGGUUGUAUAAAUGGGUUUUAAUACAGUAAGAUCAGUGUGAUGCCAAAAUAGAGAUCAUCAAGGAUCAUAUAUACCCAUAACAUAAUUAAUUUCUUAAUAUGUCUCUAAUGCCUAUGGUUGACAUAUAUACAUAUUUGAUUAAAAAUACACCUUCAACUCUUUCACCUCAUCAGACUCCUUUAAUUGAUAGCUAGUUUGGCUAGAGUUUUUAACAUUAACACUGGUUUUUAUGUAUAUGAAGUUGUGAACUAACUCUCCACCAUCAUUUAGGAAUGGGAGAUUGGAACUACUUGAGAGUUUGGAACCGUAAGAAGUACAAUGACAGUGUUCAAUACGGAUCGUAGGUGGUGAAAUAAUCCUUAUAAUGACAGGAAAGUUUACCAGAGGAUAGAACUGCAGCAUUACAAGUUUUAACUGAUGAAUUGUUAUGUUUUGAAUUUUGAUAGCCUGUGAGGGGUAAAAUGUAAGUUUACACUUUCACUCUUAUAUGUCUAUCAUAUAAAUAGUGGUUAUAUUUUGUGGUAGCACGGCGUCAUCAGAUUGAAAGGUCACAAUUGCCGGUGUAGAAGGUUUCCUAAGAGCUUUCAGUCACCUCGAAACUUUUUCAAUUAUGCAGUGGAGUGGAGGCAAGUUGAAUUAUGAAGUUUUAGAGUAUGAUAGUUCGAGCCCACCUCUUUGUGAUUUGCACUGAAGAAAAAAUUAGCCGAAAGCAAAGUUCAUUAGCAUAUUGUGACCAUGUCAUUGAAAUCCUUGGCCUGCUUUGCUUUUAGCAAACCCAGCACUCCACAUUAAGGUUUUGAUUAGGUCUCCUUUUCUUCACUGAAAUAUAGUGAUUUAACAAGUCCUUUGAAUAAUUAAACGAGAGAAGAACAAGAAAGAGUGGACAAAAGGAGCCUCUGUAGCUGUCUCCCAAUGCAGAUGCAACAGUUUGAAAAGCUUCGAGUAGCUCCAAGUAGAGUUCUUAUUAGUGUCUUGUUUCAGUUAGGCCUGCAACACCACACAUAUUCCAUGUAAAAGGAAAACUGCUUCUUGUCCAUAAUUGAAGGUUGCAUAUGAGUUAGAUUACUUCAUAUUCAUUAAUAAUGCAUAAUGUUUCUUGGAUGUGCUGUGUACCUUAUUGUCUCUAAGACUUGCUAGUUACUAUACAUGUAAUCGGUACACAUAAAAUUUUGAUGAUCCAACUCUAUAACAUGUCGAAGUUAGAUUGAUCGAACUAGUCAGAUUGAUCAAACACCAGCUAGAUAGUUUUGAAAGAUCACAUCAAAGCGUGGCUCAAUGGUUUUUUCUGCCGAUACUAGUCAGAUUGAUCAAACACUAGCUAGAUAGUUUUGUUUGAACAAAAGUUUGUGGCUGGUCAGCACUCAGCACUAGCAGAGAUACAAUUGUUCUGUGACUUCUAUCUUCGUAGUAGGGUUAUCUGUAUCAAGCACAGUAGUUUCACAAGCUGAAAGACUUGAUGCUAAUGGCUUCUAGUCUGUUCGAUCAAUACCCUUCCCCACUGCCCCUUUUUCUGGUACUGCGAAAAACGUUCUCAAAUUGCCAAAUGAAGUGGUGAGAGCUCCUCAAAGUGCCAAAUAAAAUGGUGAGAGCUAGUCAGGGCAGCUCAACAUGGAGAUGAUAUACUCUUGCGGCUAGCAUGUCGAUCGCAGCAUUUUGAGUCGAAGUGGGUGAGGGCGCACCACAGCAAUCAUUACCACUAUGAGAAGCCUAGCGAGGUAGAGCAAUAUUUCUCACUAGCUACAUAUUAUGGUAUCAGCAACUGAAAAUGGUUUGUCGUUGACAAAAUCAAGCAACAAAACCUGUAUGCUCGAAUGAUAUGCAAAAUGAUCCGUGUCAUGAUCAAGCACAUUUGUAGAACGUACCCGUGGUGAAGGUGACGAACCAAGGUGUUUUGAUUUUCGAACCAUAUGCAUAUAUACUACUACUGCCGGAAUGAAACGCAGCAUAGCUAGAAAACUGACAACUUGAUAUCUCUGUGCCCGAGAGAGAGGCAGAAAAACCAUGUCAAGACCAGCAUUGCUGCCCUGCAUAUUCUUCAUACCUACUUUCCAUCACUAGAAACAGAUUGGUCUCUCGUCGGUGCAUAAGAUACAGCAAGUCAAUUAGUGGGUCAUCAAAUGGAGUGAAGCUACAACCGUCUUAGUAUGCAUUGUUGUGAAGAGGAUUUGAGACAUGCCUCUCUGGCUCUCUAUGGAUAUAUGGCUCUAAAGUCCUCUUUAGGUAUUUGCCGACCUUGCCUACCAUAUAAAAAUGCAAUCCUUGCUGAAAGAAAAUCCCAGGGAACAAUGCCAUCUUUUCUAGGAAAACGUAAAUCUACCAUAUUGUUUUAAACUGUAGAUUAUUGUUCUCACACCUCUUGGCUUAGUAGUUGGUAAAUCUAUCUAGCUAGUUUAGGGAUUCGGUAAAGCAUGAUGAAUAGGUAGAAUGAAUCUUCCGUUCUUAUCAAUUGGUUAACGAGAUUAGACCUGUGUGCUCCAUUACUUAUGUGAAGCAUGUCAAUCAGUUUUGUAUAUAUGUCAAUCAGUUUUGUAUGUAUCGUAUCAUUCGUAUGGAGAGGGAGUGUAAUCCAAAGAGAGACAAAAUAUGACUGAAACCAAGCACAGUGGAGACAAAGAGCACCAGAAUACAUAAAACACUAUAGUAACUUCAAAAUGGAUCUAUCAUUGUUGAUGAAUGAUAUGAAGGUAUAACGAUAGUUGACAAUUCUUUUAUCCUGUAAAACACCUUGAGAUGCUGUUAUCUGAUCAAGAACAAGUGGCACUAAUAUCCCUUAUGGUUUCAGGUAAAACAUGCAUCUGCAUAUCACUGUUUUUCACAGAGGAUAGCAAGCAAAUCAUAGUAUUGAGUAUGUUGUUGUCCUGAGUUUCAAAGUCUGUUAUAUUAGUUUAAUAGGACUUUCAAAUUCAAAUGGACAACUGAGUUUGUGGGAAAUGCCUUGGCGCUCAAACCAGUCUAAGGGUUGAGAUCUUUUGUUAUGCCAACCCGUGACCAAAUGGUUUGAUUCUCAAGGCUCCAGCUUGGAUUUUAUGAUACAUUAUCUAAUACAAAGCUGGUCCCUGUGUGAUUCAAAAACCAGUCGCUAUCGGCUAUGUCAAGGUCCACUAAUGGACUGGGUAAGAGGGUUUGAAACCUCUUUGCUCCCUGUUUGAAUCGUUCAUAUUUUAGAAAAUGUAUCUUUGUCUUAUUAAGGUUGCUUGUGUCAACUCUCCAUUUGGUUACAUCACUUUCAGUAUGGGAACCAAACACUUCUGUCCAAACCUUUCUGAAACAUGUUGAGGUCAGCUUGCGUCAUCUUUGAUGCCUUGUCUGCCUAUAUAUACCUAUAGCUUUGGCUUUGCUCAAUGGUUGUUGAAAAUUGUCUUAUUGCGUUUUCAUUGUUGAGUCUAGUUUUUAGCUUGCAUUGUUCAUGCUGCUCUAAGUUUUCUUCGUGACUGUAAACCUUAGAGCUUGAACUCAAAACCUCUUUCAUCAACUCAUAUCAUGUUGCAUACCAUGAGGGAUGUAUAGUGCAACCAACCCAAGAAGCGUUCAAGGUUGAAUCAGUUAGUGGUUAGCAGAAUUCACGAACAAGGCUUUUGAAAAUGUUCCAUGUUGUAAGAGCUUAGAAAUAAGAGAGGGAAUAGGUCUAGACUAGUUUGGGACUAAGAAGGAUCGCAUUGUGGUAGUGUAUCACUAGAACUAUUAUCCUUGUAAGUUACUUCAACUUAGGAAAGUUUGUCUCUCAAGAGUUAAAGACACGCAGUUUUUCUCCCUGCAUUCAGGGUUUCUGCGAGUAAAAAACAUUCUUGUGUUGUUUCUUUAUUUGCUGCAAUUUACUUUCUGCAAACUCGUACUUGUUAUCCUCAGUUACAGAAGUUAACGAAGAUUCAAAAAGGCCUAUUCCUUCCCCCCCCCCCCCCCCGGGGUAAGACCUUUACGAUCAAAUCUCAACAAAAUGUCAAAACAGUAACAUUAACUUGAACCAGGUAAUACAAUAGUUAGGAUAAAUUAUUGUGUUUUGACAAACCAUAAAAGCAUCUUUGUGUCUAAAGGAUACACAUCUCUUCAUAUUACUCUUAACACAGCAAAUUAAUGUUACCACUAGCAAGUACUGGUGAGCAAUCAGGCCUGCAGCGCGACAGGAGAGAUGCCAUGUGGCCUGUGUUUGUAAAGACGAAAAGAGCAUCCACGUCUAAAGUAUUUGCUGCAAAAUGACAAUUUACAUCAAGAUAAGGUUCCACAUGCAAGUAU
rnacentral:lncRNA from 1 species